rnacentral:lncRNA from 1 species
AUGUCACAAACAUGGUUCUCUUAGUUUCUAAUCUUUCCUAAUUCAUCAAAGAAUAAAUCCCCAUAGUCAAUGACACAAGUACUGCAGACAUGGCAAUGAGAAUUCUGCUAAUGAGAAGCUAGCACCAAAAGAUUUAGGUCUUCUCUUAUGACCCAUAACCAUGACAUUCAUCUCAAUGAUCAUCUCUAUGAAGACAAAAAUUCCUCGUCACAAUACCUAAGAAAUGCCAAAACAGGAACAAAACUUCCUACCAAACUUCAAGCCCAUCUGCCUACCUUUAAAAGGUGGUCCACUGGGUCAAUGCAAAAUAGACCAGCUUUUAUUACAGAGACUCCCAAUCAAUGAAUGCAGGCUGCUAAACCAAAAUAUAAAACAAUAAGAUGUUUUUAGGUUAUUGAGAACAUGAACCAAAACAAAGAAAACUUUUUUGUUUUAGUGAAAAAUAAGACAUUGAAAGGAUAUGCAGUCAUAAAACUUGCAAUUUUGUAUAUUGCAGAGUUAAAUCUCCACUUUUAAUACACUGGAAAGGGAAUAGCAGCAAGAAAAGACCAAAGCAAUUAAAAUUUCUUACUGCCAAAGCACAAUACAUCCCUACUUUACUCCAUGCUUGUAUAAGAGAACAUAGACCCAGAAAGUGACAAAAACCUAAGCAUCCAUGGUUUUCCAUAGUUAUCAAGUGGUUCACUUGGUUUAGGCAUACUGCCAAAUAAAAACAGAGCAUGACCUUGCCAGUACCAUUAGAAUAUGGCAACUAUCUGCAUCCAAAAUGUGAGCACUUAGGUUCAAUCCUCCUCGACUCCUCUUCAAUAUUUGUUUCAAACUUGAAGCUUCACGAAAAAAGAAAAUCCCUAACACACCUGCCAUCGUUAAAAAAAUUAGCAUCAACAAGCAGACAUAAGAUUCCUUGCACCUAACAUUGACAUGGACUCAAAUUAUCCAAAACUAACCUAAAUUCAUGGAGAUGAAUGCCAAUCAAGCAAAGCACGUGCCUGUGUGAUGUUUGGUCAGUCAUCUGGAGAAGCUUGGAGCACGCCCAUGAUUAGAUCUGUCACAUGAGCUGUAUUUUGGUAAUUCUGGAAUGCGGUAUUUUCUAUUUAAGAUAAUAGAUGGUGAGAAACAUAUAGUCAGAUGAAUAAUAAAACACAUACUCUAGUAUUCUACUGAUUGAUUCACCCAUUCACUAAUCAUUAAAAAGUCUAGAAAUAUAGAAGCUUAAAUUUUCGAAUUUAUGGACAUAGUAAAUAAGCUCAUAAUCAUCAUUUCUAUACAAAAUCAGGAAGUUCAAUGAGGAAGUUGCACUCAACCGCCUUAAGAUAAUAAGGACAUCAGAAUAGAAAACAAAGCUACAAAAAGUCUUAAAGCCAAGAUCAAUUUAAUUAUAGUAUUCUUCUUGGGAGUUGCAUGGUAUAAACCUUCGUUAAGACAUGGACUCUAAUUUUCUUUUCAAAGAAACAGCUAACAUCCUGAUCGGAUAAACAAUGAGAGCCAAUGCCCAGGGCCACUAACAGGAAUGUAGGCAUGGAAACAACAAUUCUGCUAAUGAGAAGCAGCACAAGAAGACCGUCACCUUCAGGAUCCAUGUCAUUGAUCCAAAUGAUCAACUCAGCAACAGUUAAAAAAAAAAAAAGUAUACAAAAAUUCAUAGUCACAGUCGAGAUCUAAGAAAUGCCCAUAAAAGAACAUAACCACAUCAAAAUUAGGACAAAACAAGUACAACUACCUAAUAAUAAAAAAAUUGACCAAAAUACUUCAUGUAAACAAAUAAAAAAAGUUGACCAAUUCAGUAUCAUAAAAUACUUCAUAUAAAAUUUUUGCUUUUAAAAUCGUAGUUUGCUAAAUGAUCCUAGUUGGUUGAUAUGGAACACAUGGAGAAGAAAAGAAAAAACAAAAAGUAUUGAGUAAUUUAGUUUGAUAAAAAUUAAAAAGAAAAUGGAAAUUUAUUCGGAGAAGUAGCAUCAAUUACCCAUGGAAUAAGUGCCUGCAGAUGUCUCCCAAAGAAUCUUAAUUCAUUCGUAAAGCUACAAUAUUGACUACAAACUAACCAAAAAGAUCAAAAACUUUAAAUUCAUGCAAAUUAAUUUAUAAUAAAACAAAAAGAAGAGAAAUUCAUUCUCAUAUACAAAUUCUAAAAGGAAGAGUGACAAGAAAAGAUUAACUAAUAAAAACUCCAAAGGGGUGUGGUGGUAUAGAAACUUCGACCUUCCUCAUUGUUGGCCUAAUUACAGCCUCAAAGAUGAUUAAAGAGCCAUUGCUCAUGUGAUUAAAAUAUGAUAACUAGCUUUGUUAAAAUGUGAAUUACCAAGAAUCAAUCUUCCUUUACUCAUCUAGAGAUGCGUAAAUUCUAGAGAUUGUCAGAAAUUCUGAAAAGUACUUGACAGCUACUUUAUGAAUUGGAACAUAAAGUUUCUGAAUAAAAUAAGCAUAGAAUUAAUUACCUGACUGUAUAUUGGUGCGGUACCACUUUCAUUAAAAUAUCACACCAUUGAUCACUAUUUUUGGAGGUGAGAGCAAGCAAUUGCAUAUAUAUGAGAUCAGGGUACCCUCUGAUUUGCAAGUAACGUCAAUAGCCUGUCCGAUAUGAAGUUCAUAAUUAUAUGAACUCUAUUGCAUUCUCUGCUUCCCCUUCAUCAGCUUGGCAACUAGGCAUUUGAAAAAAUUUGGUCUUUAAAAUCUGGAUCCAAGAAAGAAUAACCAUACAGGCACACACACCUGGACAGCCUCCCCUCUUCAUCAAACAAUUCAAUAGCUGUUAAAUCCAUGGCCGCUGGUGCCUAUGCUGCACAUGUCAUCAGGAAUUGCCUGCACAACAGACCAAGAAGAAGCAUUUGAGUGCUUAUAUGAUCUAGCAGCUCCAUCAGAAUCAAGUGUUGCCCUGUAGUAAUAGUCACUCCUUAAGUCUCUUAUGCUUAAGUCUCUCCCCAUGUGCAGGUAGGUAUCUGGGUCUGAUUGUUACUCAACCCAACCAAGCAUGGGCAUCCAUACUUGAUACUUUUCAGGUUGGUCAAAUUGAAAUGAGUUACAUAUAAUGCUCAUCUCCCGUAUCGUUUUUGAAGCUAGUUCGGCUAGACUAAUAGACAAAUAAGCCCUCAAAAUAAACUUGCCCAGGUUGAGAACAGACCUUAUAUUGAGAUAGUCCACAACCAACUCUGCUCUUAAUAUAUAAGAAAUAAUGAAAAAUAAAUAGUCAAACAAAUAAUAAAAUGCAUAACCUAAUAUCCUAUUGAUUGAUUCACCCAGUUUUUAACCAUUAGAAAGUCUGGAAAUAUAGAAGAGUGACUUUUCGAAUUCAUGAGGAUGGUGAAUAAGCUUAGAAUCAUCAUUUCUACACAAAGUCAGUUGGUUCGAUGAGGGAAUUACACUCUUAACUACUUUAAGAUAAUACAACAACAUCAAAAAUAGAAAAUUGAACUACAAAAGGUCUUAAAUUAAGAUCAAUUUAGACAUAAUAUACUUCUUGGGAGUUUCACGGUAUAAACCUUUGUAAAGAAUUAGACUCUCCUUCUUUAAGACUAUGGACCCAAGACUCAUACUCACUGAUAGAAGUGCAGGCAUGCCAAUGAGAAUUCUGCUAAUGAGAACCUAGCAUAAGAAUAUUAAUGUCUUCUCCUGUGAUCCAGAACUAUAGUCCGAAAUGGGAUCCAUGACAUUGAUGUCAAUGAUCAUCUCCAUGACAACAGAAAAUAUACAGAAAUUCCUAGUCAUAGUCAAGACCUAAGAAAAGCCAAAACAAGAACAACGAAACAUUAAAAUUGGGACAAAAACAAGUGCAUAAGCUUCCUAAUGAACAUUUAAGUCUAUUAGCUUACCUUUAAAAAGUGGACCACUUAGUUAGCACGCAAUAGACCAGCUUUUGUUACGACUCCCAAUCAAUGCAGGUUGCUAUUAUCAUAACCGAACUUUGUUCCUCAUAAGCAGUCUUUUAUGCUGAUACUGGUAACUUAAUAUGGAACAUGUACAAAAAAGAAAAGAAAUAACAAAAAGUAGUAAUUAAUUUCGUUUGAUAUUGAAUGGAGUAAAGUCACAACAUGUGCAUAUGCAAGUAUAUUAUCCUAAAAACCACUUGCAAAAGGCACCAAGUACCCAACUAAUAUCAGACUUGAAUAACCAUGAAUUACCUAAAACUGUAUCCACAUGUUCCUGCAUGAGAUAGAUACACAGAUAGUUUCAACUUUGCUCAUUUGGAAAGAUCAAUUAAAGCUACAAUGCAAAUUACCUGGGAUGAAUUUUCCUUUGUUGGAGAACUUCUCAAAUCAAACAAAUAGAGUUUGUUGCUUGCUCAAAUCUUCAACAACUGGACCAGCCAAAGACUUGUGUAGAUGUACAAUUCCUAAAGAGUGUUGAGCAUAUUAGGAGCCUUUGAAUUCUGAAAGGAGGUCAAGACCUUAACAAUGUAGAAGGUUUAAGUAAUUCUGUUAUCAAACAUGGUAAAAUUGAUUAAACAAAACCUUGAACAGUGAGGUAUUUUCUUCUAAAAAAGAUGAGUCCACCAUUGUGUGGACUAUUGAGAAUAUAAAAAAUACGACAUCAGAAUUAUAAGUAACUAAAAUUACCUACCAAUAAGCAGCUAGCUAGAAUAAAUCCAUGGUUUUCUCCAUGCCUGUAUUAGAGAAAUGACAAAGAAAGUGAGGAAAAAAAAUCAAAGCAUUCAUGUUUUUCGACAGUAAUUAAGUGGUUCACUUGGGUUAUGCAUACUGCCAAAGCAUGAAAAUAUGAGUACCAUUAAAAUAUGAUCUGAACUGUCUGUGUCAAAAUGUCAGCACCUAGGUUGAAUCCUCAUCUACGGCUUUUCAAUAACAUUUGUCCUAGGGUUGAAGCUUCAAGAAGAAGAAAUCUUAAAUCAAAUAAAUGGAGCUAAGGAAUUAUGCAGAUAUAUUCUUGAGAUUAGAAAUUUGGAUGGCUACAUCAGGAAUUGGAACAUAAAUUUUCUAACAAAAUAAGUUCAAGCACAAAGCAAUUACCUGCCGAUAUGUUGGUGCAGUGCCAUUUUCAUUAAAAUAGCACAUCAUCGAUCACUAUUUUUGGAAUGUGAGAUAUAAAACGCCAUUCUUGCCCUUUCUCAAAUUGGCACUGUUGUUCCAGUGAAGGACACUUGAGGACAUACAGAUAAGAGAGGGAGUUUGGCCGUCUCUCUUUUGUCAAGUAUUGGAGCUUAGGGCACUUGUAGAGAUCUAAGGUUUCAAGAGUGGUGAGGUGGUGAAGACCCGCUUAAUAAAAAUUAAUAAAAUAAAUGAAUUUAUUAUAUCUGGAAUAUGUAUAUAUGUCUUAUCUUAGGAUUAAUAUAUAUUAAAUAUCCAUUAAUAGAAAACCCAUUUUUUCUCUUUCCACAAUCUAAUCCUAAUACGAAAAAUCUUGAAAUAUUAUUGGUUUUCUAGCUUUCUUUUAAUUUCUCUAAAAUUUUUCAUUAAGUAAAUAAAUUUGGAAUCAAACUAUACCUCAUAGGUAAAAUUUAUUAAUUUUUAAAAUUAAUUUCAAACUCAAAAACCAAUUUAAUUAGUACUAAAAAGUCAAAAACACAAUAAUAUUAUAAAUUCAUAGGUCAAAAUUUAUUUAAAAUAACUUGGUUAGCUUCUUCUUCACAUAUAACCUAUUUUUAUAAAUUUUUUUCAUGAAGCAAAUAAACUUCAAAUUAAUCGAGACUUGAUGUGUUGAAUUCAUUAAUGAGUUUAAUAAUUUUUAAAAAUAAUUUAAAACUUAAAUAAUUAUGUAAUUAAUACCAUCAAUUUAUAAAUAAAAAUUGGUUUCAAAUGACUCUAUUUUUUUUUAUUUUCUAUGUAAAAUUAUUAUUUUCUUAUUUUUUUGUUUCUAUUAUGCAAAUGGACUCCAAAUUAAACAAGACUUAAUGUCAUAUUUUUAUCAAUGAGUCUAGUAAUUUUUAAAAAUAACUUAAAACUUAAAUAGUGAACCAAUUACUAUUAAAAAUUUAUGGACAAAAAUUGAUUUAGAAUAAUUUUAUUUAUUCUUUUUCUUUACAUAAUCAUUAUUGUCCGAUUUUUUAAACAAAUAAACUUUAAAUUAAACAAGACUUAAUACAUCGGAUUCAUUAAUAAGUUUAAAAAAUUUUAAAAAUAAUUUAAAAUUCAUAUAAUAAACUCAUUAAUAUAAGAAAUUUAUGAAUUAAAAAUGAUUCAUAAUGACUAUUAUUUGUAUUUUUGGUUUUAUUUUAAAAAUAAUUUUUUAAAAAUAAGCGUUAGAAGACAUGUUCAAACGGACCCUUAGCUUUUAAAAAACAAUGCAAUUAUGCAUUUUACAAUCUUUUCUAAAGGUAAUUACAAAUUGUUUUAGUUGUUUUUCCACCUUUCAACCCAAAAAAUUGUUGAAAAUAUAAAUAAAAAAAAAUAUUGUGAUAUUCAACUAUUUCACUUGAAGUUACCCAAAUAUGAAAAUAAGGAUUGAAGGGUGCAAUCAUGCAACCCAAUGGCAUUGAUUUAACAUAGGUUUUGUCCAAUUUACAACCAUAUAUAUUAGUGCAAUCACUAAUAAAAACUCAUUUUAAUGAUCAAGAUAAGUCAUUCUUCUAAUUAUGAGGUAGUAUGCUACAAUUUUAGAUUGAUUGUUCAAGUUUAUGAAUUGGUUGUAAACAAUCCAUCAACUUACAAUAAACUUAUGACUUGGAUCUUUCGUAUAACUUUUUAUACACUAAAAUCUUAUACAAUGCAAGUGAUGUAAACCCGAGUGUUCAAAUAAAUAUUAAUGUAAAUAAUGGCAGAAUAAUGGAAAUAGAAAUCAUAAUAUUAUAUAUAUAUUUAUGAAAUUUCACUUAGUUAAAUCAUGUUAUAUUUUUAAAGGCUUUGAUUUUUUUAAUUGGAUCUUGGGCUUUUAGGAUUUGAUCUUGGGUUUUAGUUGUUUCAUUCGAUGUUAGGCAUUUAUAAUUUUAUUUGGGAACAAUUCAUUUGAUCGAGGCUUCAAUUUUUUGAUGUGGGCUAUAGGCUGUGAUUAUUUCGGGCUUUGGGUUUUUGUGAUUUGGGCUAGUUUUGAUCAUUUAAUUUGUUGUUUUGGGCUUUGGUUUGGAUUGAUAUUUGAUUAGGCUUUGGGUAUUGGAUUUGUUGUUUCUUAAUUUGGAAAUAAUAUUUGACAUUGGCUUUUGGGCUUCGCUUUUAAUAUGUAGUUUUGACCUUGGUUAAUUCCUAUUUGAGCCCCUGGUCGGAUUAUUUCAUUUUGGCCUAUUGAUUUGUUGACUUGGACUUUGUGUUUGUGCUUGUUUGUGAUUUAGGCUUGGUCUAUUGUUCUGGGGUUUUAGUUUGAUUGUGGGCAUUUGUGUAUUACUUUGGGCUUGGCCUUUAUAAUUGUUUUGAAUUUAUUUAUGGUAUGGGCUUGGUUGUUUGAUUUUGACCUUCUAUAUACUCUAUUUGACCUGGGCUUAGGGCUUUCAUUUAGUUUAUUUGAGCUUGGUUAAUUUGAUUUGGAUUUGGGCCUGUUAUAACUUGUAAACUAUUUAGGCUUGCUUUUCUUUUAUUGAACAGAAUCAACAAAAGUAAGGUGUAUAUUUUUUUAAACAAGCAGAAUACGCGCAUUCAAAGUUUUGAAAAAUAGUUUUGAAAAAUUAAUUUUAAUCUUUUUUAUGUAUAUAAAUAUUUUCCAAAAAUAACUUUAUGAUAUAUAUUUCUUCAAGCAAUCAUAAACGAAAAAAAAAAAAAACAAAUGAAAAUAACCGAAAACAACUCAUAUAUUUUUUCAAAAAACACCUAAACCGGCUUGCUUUUUUUUUUUUUUUUUUAUCAAACAGUUUUCCUAUUUUCUUGUUCUUAAAUAUAGAUAAACAAAAGUGGUUCAUUGUGACCCUAUCAUUUGUCUUUUGUUUUUUAAUUUUAAAAUAGGUUUUAAAAACAAGUAGAAAAAUAUGAUGAAACGAACCCUUAUCUUUUAAAAAAUAAGGCAAUUCAAAAUACAUUUUAAAAGGCAAAUUAUAAAUUUCUUUAGUUGUUUUCUCAUCUUUGAAUCGAGAAAAUUUGUUUGUACGAUCUUUCCAUCUAAUUAGUCCCUUGAAAUAUUUGUCCCCUUUUUCAGUAUUAUCAAUAUAUUUAUGACUAUUUGAAUGAAAAUAUAAGAAAAUAUCAUAAAUAUUCUCAUGAAACUCCUUGAUAGCAAUUAUUUCACUUAUCAGUGAAAAUAAAGUUACCCAAAUAUAAAAAAGGAUCGAAGGAUGCAACCCAAUGGCAUUCAUCGAGAUGGCAAAGUUUGAUACAAUUUGCAAAUACUUCUAUAUAUACUCAUCUUAUCUUAUAUUUCAUUGAAUAUAAGAUAAGAUAAAUUAAUGGAUAUUUAUCAUAUAGUAUCCCUACCAAAAAUGUCCCCUCCUUUAUUUGAACUCAUGGUAGGUGAAAGAAUGUAUUUUCGUGCAAAUGAUAACAAGGCAAUGAUUCGAGAUCAUGAAUAGAAAGAAAUUCCAAAAGCGCUACACAGUAACCUUCCUCAUGGUUGGCCUUAGAGCUGAAUCCUCCUGAAUGCACCAAAUGGACACCAUCACUAGCCUCUCCAACCUCUUCAUAUCAUUCAUAAUUUGCAUCCUCAUCAUCUUCCACCAACUUCUCCAACUUCCUUUGCACAAACAGUUCAUAAUCUCGAUCCAUUAGAGCUUCCUCUCCGUCUUCCAUAUGAAAGAGGAAAUCUUCUUCUAACACAUUGUCUCUAUAAAUGGCUACUUUGCAUAAGCAAUCCUCUUUACAUGACUCUUUAUACUUCUCCUGCUCAACCAAUUUGUGUUGUUUAAUUCUUUCAACUCCACUUCAUCCUUCGCUUUCUUCACUUUCUUCGCUUCAUCUUCAUCUGCUUGGCAACUCCACUUCACUCUCACUCUCAAGAACAAAGUUACCGAGCAUGGCAGCAUGAGUAACCCCUUUAACAGCCGACUAAGUUCUCCAAAGCUCAUAUCCUCAUUUGUCAGCGAGUUUGAACUCCCCAUUUUUGGUGAGUUCAAUUUUUGUACCCUUCUGCCACUUCUUUAUCUGCAUACCAAAUUAUUGUUUGGUAAUUCAUGUUCGCUAAUUGCAUAUAGAACAUAAUUAGCCCUUUUAAAAAUAAUAAUUAAUAUGAUCAAUCAUCUUCUAAGAUGGCAUGUUACAUAAAAGGUAACAAGAUUAUGCUACUUUUUAAAAUUUUUCCUUAGGGUGUCAAUGUCAUAAUGUGGGUACAAACUGACAGUAUAGGAACAAGUACAUUGAUAAAAAUUAAAAGAGAAAAAUUCGAAAUUUAUUCAGAGAAGUAGCAUCAAUUGCCUAGGGAAUAAGUGCCUGCAGAUGUUACUCCUUAGUCCCCAGUAUGCUUGAAACAAACUGGAGACUGAUCAGUUUCUUACAGUAUCAGAAGACGGCAGCCUAGCUAUAGCUAACCACACAAAGAGAUUGAAGAACACUGAGCUGCCAAGUAGUAGUGACCCAACAAGAAUCAAGGUAGACUUAUCUGGGCCUGUCUGCAAGCCUUUUGCUCUGUUUUCCACAGGAAAGAAGGAAUCUCUUCUGCCAACACAUUGUCUGUAUAAAUGGCUACUGCACAGAAGCAAUCCUCUUCACAAGACUCUUUAAAACUUCUCCUUGUCAACAAUCCGUCUAAUCCAAAGUUCAUAAUUGGAGAUUUGCCAGUCUAUGUUGUUAUUCUAUGAACUCUACUACCUGCUUGGCAUCUGGACAUUGGAAAAUUUGGUCUUUAAAAUAUGGAGCCAAGAAAGAAUGCCUACAUAGGCACUCACAUCUGAACAACCCCCUCUCCCCAUCAAACAAUACAAUAGCUGUUGAAUCCACAAAUCCCGCUGCCACUGCCACUUGCAGCUGCAUUGCAAUUGUCAUCAGUAAUUGCCUGCAGAACAGACCAAGAAGUAUUAAUGCAGUUCCAAUGGUUUGCAGUGUUCUGUUUUCGGUGCUUAUAUAAUUAAAAUCAAGUGUUGUCUUGUAUUAAAAUCACUCCCAAAAUCUAUCUUCUGAUAAGAGGUUAACUUAUGUGGCAAGAUGGUAUCAGUGGGAUUCUUGAAGCACGCCCAGGCGCAAAUAACUAAAGCCAUAUUUUCAAAAAAAUUUGCUUACCAACCAAGAAAAACCUGGUAGAAUUAGCAGGUCAUUCAAGUACAUGUGGUUUUGGCCUCUUAAAUAUUCAAUCACAGGUACAUUCUAUAUGAUUUUAAGCGACUAGAGAAGAAUGAAAAAGAAAAUUAUGAGAAUGUCAACCAGUGUGGAAACUAAUUUCCUCAAGUAACUUCUCUCAAUAUCAUUUUCCUUUGUGACAAUAUUAAAGACCUAUAGUUACAAGUUACAACUUAAUUUUCAUCUCCGGACUUACCAUGUGAACAUACUUGAGUCUGAUUGUAACUCGACCCAACCAAGCAAGGGUCAUCCAUACUUGAUACCAUUGACAUUGGUUGAUGGAAUUGAGUCACGGGCUAGUCCAGCUUGACUAAUAGUCAAAUAUGCUCUCAAAACGAACUUUCCUGAGAUUGAGAACAAACCUUGUAUCAUAAAAAGUUCAUAAAAAUAAAUCUGGAGAACAUUUAAUAUAGUCAACAACCAACUCUUGUUCUUCAUAAGAGGUGGUGAAUUAGCUCAUAAUGUAGAAGAGUAAAUUUUCUAAAGCAUGAAAAUGGGGGAAUAAGCUCAAAAUCAUCAUUUCUAUACAAAAUCAGAAAGUUCAAUGAGAGAAUUGCAUUCAAUUACUUUAAGAUAAUAACAACAUCAAAAUAAAAAACAGAACCACAAAAGUCUUAUAGUCAAGACAAUUUAAUUACAAUAUUCGUCGUGGGAAUUUUGCGGUAUAAACCCUCAUUUAGACUUGGACUUUUUAAUUUUCUUUAUGAAUAAACAAUUGGCUCCUGCUCAAAUGAAAAAUGAGAACCAAUGCUCAUAGUCACAGACAGAAGUGUAGGCAUGGCAAUACCAAUUUUGCAAAUGAUCAUUUGGUCAUAGUCAAGACCUAAGAAAAGCCAAAACAAGAACAAUAGAACAUCAAAAUUGGGACAGAAACAUGUGUAGCAACUACAUAAUAAAGAUUUGUGUCAAUCUGCUCACCUUUUGAAGGUGGUCCACUGGUUUAGUGCAAAAUAGACUGAUUUUUUCUUUACAGGGGCCCUCAAUCAGUGUUGGCUGCUGAACUAGAAGAGAGUUCAGAUAACUAAAAAAUUCUAUAAAUUCAAUACCAUAAAAUACCUCACAUAAAAAUGUUGCUUUUGGAACUGUAGUUUUCCAAAUGUUCUCAAAUUUAAAAAUACAUUGGCAUAAAGUUAUUGAUGUUUACCUCAUAUUUUUUUCCAUGGUCAUAUCAAACAUUGUUCUCAUAGUAAGUCUUCUAUGUUGAUCCUUGUUGCUUAAUAUGAAACACAUAAAAGAAAAAGUGGUGAUCAAUUUAUUUUGAUAUCGAAGGGAGCAAAGUCACAACAUGUACAUUACAUAUGUAGCCAACUAAGUAUAUAUUAUGAUGUGGGUAAGAUUCAAUACAUAUUUCAGUAACCAUGAAUUACCUAAAAAUGUACACGUGUUCUUACAGGAGAUAAACACACAAGUAGUUAAGAGUCAUCUUUGCUGGGCAACCAGGCAAUUGAAAAAAUUUGGUCUCUAAAAUUUGUAUCCAAGAAAGAAUACCUAUACAGGCAACAGUCUGGAUAGCCUCCCCUCUUCAUCAAGCAAUACAAUGGUUGUUAAAUCCACAAAUCCCACUACCAUGGCUACUGGUGUCUAUGCUGCAAUUGUCAUCAAAAUUGCCUGCACGAUAGACCAAGAAGAAGCAUUUGUUUUUAAAAUCAAAAGCUUCUAUAUAUAAGUAAAGCAUCUUAUACAAAAGUGUAUAGAUUUACAUUUUCAGAAAUUUUAAAUUUGAGAGAAUGAGAGUUUAUUUGGUGAAGUUUUUAAAAAUAAUUUUCUAUUUUUAAAAAUUGAAAAAAGUUUAAAAAAAUUAAUAACACGGUUUGGUUAUUCUUAUCGAUUUCCUUUUUUAAAAACAAAGUAAAAUAAAGAAUAACUUUUAGAGAACAAUUAAAAGUUAUUUUUAUCUAUUUUUAAAAAUAAUAGAAAAACACAUGCACUCUAUUAUUUUUCUUCUACAUAGAAUUAUUAUUUUUCAAUUUUUUUGGUUAAGCAAAUUAACUCCAAAUUAAACAAAACUUAAUGUGUUGUAUUUGUUAACAAGUCUAUUAAUUUUUAAAAAUAAUUUAAAACUUAAAUAAUAAUCUCAUUAAUACCAUAAAUUUAUUAAUAUAAUAAAAUAUCUUUUUUUUCUAACAAAUAAUAAAAUAGUAUAAUUUCUACUAAAAAUAUAAUUUAUGAUUUUAUUAUUAUAUUACUAUUUAUGUUUUACUAAAAACUAUAUAUUUUUUAAUUUUUUUGUAAUUACAAAAUUAUUUUCAUUUUCAAUUAGAAUUCAAUUCAAUUUAAUUAAUUAAUAUUAAAUAAAUUGAAUUUUAAAUAUUUUUACAAAAUAAAAAUAAUUUUAAAAAAAAACAAUUUAUCCAAAGAAGUCUUUUUUUAUUUUUUAAAUUCAUUUUACAAUAAUAACUUACCAAAUAUCCUUAAUUUUAUAAAACAUUAAAAAACCUUUUUUGAUUCUUCAACGUUAACAAAGUUUCUAAAAAAACAUAAGAAAUCAUGUUCAAACAAAAAGUUUUAAAAAAUUAAUUAAAGUACUUAAUUGACUUAUAUUAAAAAUGAAUAUUAAACUUAUUUUUAUAUUAUAGAAAUUUUUUAUUUCACUAUAAUAAAAAAAAUCGUUUCAUAAUUAAAAAUAAAAUUACUUAUCUUUAACUAAUAUAUAAUUUUAAUAAGACUUAACUUGAAUUUGAUUUCAUAUUAUUAUAAAUUAAUUUUAUAAAAUAACUAAUAUAUUAUUUUAAAAAAUAAUACAAAUUUUUUCAUCCAAAGUUCUUGCUUUUUGUUUUAAAAAACUAUUUUUUAAAACAUCUUGUCAAAUACUCUAAUUUUUAAAAAAUUAUAAAAAACAGAUUUUUGUAGCCCUAAAUUAUUUUUUUGAUACCUUGAUUGUUUUAAACAGUUUUUAAAAUUAUUAAUUUUUCAAUGUAAGCCUUUAAGAGUUAAAAUACAAAAGUUACUGUCACUUAAUUUUAGGCUUAACAAUGUAGGAGAUUUAAGUGUAGGCAAGGAAUUAAGCAGAUAUAUUCUUGAGAUUAGAAAUUUGGGUGGAACAUAAAUUUUGUAAAGAAAUUAAGUUUAAGCACACAACAAUUACCUGCCCAUGUGUUGGUGCACUGCCACUCCCAUUAAAAUAGCACCCAAUCGAUCACUAUUUUUGGAAUGUGAGAUAUAUAACGCCAUUCUUGCCCUUUCUCGAAUUGGAGCCGUUGUUCCAGCAAAGGACACGAUCCGACAUCCAGAGAACAGAGGGAGUCUGGCAGUCUCUCUUUUGUCAAGUAUUGGAGCUUAGGGCAACGGACGAUACUUAAGGUUUCAAGAGUGGUGAGGUGGUGAAGACCCGCUUCUGUCAAGGAUUGGAGCCUUACGCACGACCAGAUUCGUAAUUCCUUGAGAGAGAUAAGGCGUUGAAGAACAGAUCCUGUCGAGAAUUGGAGCUCAGGGCAGUUCUCGAUCCGUAAUUCUCGAAGAGAGGUGAGUUGUUGAAGCCCCUUGUUGUCAAGAGAGUUGAGAUUUGGAAGAACACAGAUUGAAAGAUGAGUUAGAGAAGAGGGCAGCAGACACUCCUUGGGAAAUAAUUCCACGCCUUCACAUCCACCUCCGAUUGUGAAAUGAGUAAGAGAGGUCAGUCUUUGCAAAUCCCAGUCCACCUGUGACGUGAGUUGGUUGCAGCGCCAUAUUGCAAGUUCCCGUAGGUUGGAAGGCAAACCCUCCCUGUGCAACAACAAUUCUGGACAAUCCGCUAAACACAGUUUCUGCAGAGAUGAAUGGGUGUGCGCCAGCAAUUUGAGAUUGGAGCAAUUCCAAAUAUCAUGGUACAUCGAGUCAAGAGCAGGCAGUUGGAUGUAUACAAGAUUAAGGCACCGAUGGAUCUUCAAAUUACGAAGAGAUGUGGGAUCCCCCUCUGAAAUCGAGAUGCAGAGCUCCUCAAGCCCCUUAAGACCAUUUAUUUCGAAAUCAGUCAACCUGGGGAAGAUGUCCAAUACUGAGAAGGACAACAAGAGAGAAUCACAGGUACCGCCAUUGAUUGAUAGAUUUUCGAGAACCGGGUGAUGGCAUCUGAACAACUCAGGUAGAAGAAGGUCCAAUUUGGUACAAUCAGAGAUUGAUAACGAUUUCAAUGUACUGGGUAAGCCAACUUUGUUUGGGGAUCUGUAAAAAGAGCAAUCACAAAUUUCCAAACUGUACAUGUUGGUUUGCAGGAUUUCCUCCUCUAGUAGAGACUCCACAGAAUCAGAUUUUCUAAUGUAGAGAUAGUGGGGUACCAGUGGAAGUUGCUUCAACUGAGAGACGUCUGAAAUUUCAAUUUUUGAAGUUUGACUAGUUGUGAACCCACAAGUUUGCCUUUUCAACUGCAAUUCACGGGCAGCAAGAACGUUGAGUGUAGGCACAAGCAGUUGCGGACAAUCUUUAAGGUUAAGUUCCUGCAAUGAAGAAAGGUGCAUUGGUAAUUCCCCAGUGAGUUUUGGACAUAGCCUUAUAGAAAGCUCCUGGAGACGAGGGAAUUCUCCACAACAUAACCAUUUCUCCCAAUUGGACAUAUCUUCAAAUGAUAGAGUUUGCAGGGAUGGGAAGGAGGGAUGAAGCGAGGAAGAAGAAUUCCCAUAAAACUCACUACCCACCAUCACUACUCCACUCAUUUUUGAGAUCUUUAUAUGUUCAAGACAAGGUAGCUGCCCCAGUGGCGGCAAUGUUGAGCAAUUCCCACAAUUCGAAAGCUGAAGGGACACGAGCUUUGAAAAUGAUCCAUCUCCAAGCCAAUCUGGAAAUGUUAGACCAGGAUAGUGUUGAAUGGACAGUUUUUUUAAAUUUGGAUGAGGUGUUAGCCUGUUGAGAAUAUCAUCUUGUAUAGCAUCAUGACUAAUCCCCCAACUCCAAUUCAAGGAUAACUCAUCAAGGUAUUUCUUAUCCUUCAUAUUCGCCUGCAAUGCAUCCUCAACACCCACCACAUUCUCCAUUUUUGAAAUUUCAAGUCUUCCUCGAAUCUCUGAAAGCUUCCACAAUUCUCCAAAUCUGAAUCCACUUUCUUUGCCCACAGUAAAAUUAGGCAAUUUCUGCAAACUUUUUAAUUGACCUAUAUCAUUUGGCAUUUCUUCCAAUGAAUUAGACCCGCUAACAUCAAGAUAGCGCAAAUUAAUCAACCUCCCCAUUUUCGAAGGCAAUUCAAGAAGAUGCCUACAUUUACUCAGCACCAUCGUUUGCAAAUUGCACAAACAACAUAUUGAUUCAGGUAAUCUUUUAAUCAUUGUUGUAGAGAGAUCCAAGUAUCGCAACUGUUUUAAAUUGUGUAUUGAAUCAGGCACAUCUGUUAUGCAGUAUCCACACAAUGACACAACACCCGCAAAGAUUUAAAUUUUGGUAAUGUAUUUUGUAAAACUCUUGUACUCAAUGAAUAAAUAGGAAAGGGUGGUACUUUGUUCUCCGCUAAGACUGUUCUGAGAUGUUUGGCUCGACCAACAGGCUCAAAACCGUCAUAGUCACUUUUAAAGUAGACCAAAUGCCUAGUCUUAUCAGAUAUUUUUUGCACCUUACAAUCUUCCAAUCGAAUGCAAAAUUCUUGGGAGAUAUGUUGAGCCGAGUCAUGUAUUAGAUCAUGCAUUACAAAGCAUGACUCUUUUGCAAAUGAUUUCUUUGUAAUAGACUCUUGAAAAAACGACUUUGCUAGAAGCUCAUUAAAACAUGACUCACCUACCUCUUCCAUUCUUUCAUCACUUUGUCCUGCGUGUAAAAGCCCUUCUGCCAUCCAUAAUAGAAUCAGCUUCUCUUUGUCAAAUUCAUAAUCCUUGGGAAAAAUUGAACAGUAAGCAAAACAACGCUUCACAGGAGGAGAAAGAUGCAGAUAACUCAAUCUAAGAGAUGGAAGAAUUUCAUGACCACUCUGGGAAUGCCAUGUUUUGCUAUUCAAAAUAUCUUCCCAUUCUCUUUGCUGGGCCUUAGAGUACAAGAGCGUCCCGAGUGCUUUUAGAGCCAAAGGCAAUCCUUGGCACUUGUCCACAAUCUUUCUGCCUAUGGGUUCAAGCUGAGGGUAAGCGCUGGAAUCUCCAUUUGGAAAUGCAAAUUUUGUAAAUAGGGCCCAACUAUCUUCAGGGCUUAAUUCUCCCAGACGAUGAGUACUGACUGCACCCAUGAGUUUUGCAACAAUUUCAAUACGAGUCGUCACAACAAUCUUGCUUCCCUCUGCUGCAGCGCGGAGUGGAGUUCCUAGUCUAUCCCAACUUUCCCAAUCAAGAGACUUUACGUCCCAGACGUCGUCGAGAACGAGCAGAAGUUUCUUGUUACCUACGCUCUUUUCCAGUUGACGCUGAAGCAAAUUUAUGUUGUCAGAGGAAGGAGGUGUAGAACCGAUUUCCUCGAGAAUUGUUUUGGUGAGGUUGGUAAGAAGAAACUCAGUGGAAACACAGACCCAUGCUUUCAAGUCGAAGUGUUCCUUCUCUGUGGCAUGGUUAUAGAGAUACUGAGAGAGUGUGGUCUUGCCGCUGCCGCCCAUGCCCACUAUGGACAUCACCUCGAUGUUGUUGCCUCUUGCGUUAUCAGAAAGCAACCAGUUCACCAUCUCCUCCUUAAUUUCAUCCCUUCCGUACACAAUGGACGACUCACCCACCAAAGAAGAGGAUGGUAAUCUUGGUGACGGUUUCUCGCCCCCACCUUCUUUCAGCCCAAGCCCAACUUUUUCUUGAGCAAUAGUCUCAAGUUUAGUAAUCAUCUCCUUCAUCCUGGACUCCAUGCUUUGAGUAGCAAAUGGAGCCUUAACCCAAGCAGGGACCUUGUUCCAGUUCCACGCCUGAUGAGUUCCGCCGGUUUGCGAGUCAGCAGCUUCUAUCUCGCACCGCAAAGCGUCGGUAGCGAUCUCGUCCAACAGGUCCUCCGCAUGAUACACAGCAUCCUUAACUUGGACCAGCCACUUUUUGACUUGUGCGUCUGAAAAUUGCUUCAUCUCCGCAUCAUUGAGCACUUUGUGGACAACCACCAAUUUCCUCUCCAACUCCUUGAGGAGGUCAUGGCUGAGAUUCUUUCGCCGAAUGAAAUUUAUGAGUUCCGGAGAAGCCAACCUGUCGAAUAGAACUUGAAGAAAAGCCGAGAGGACUGCGUCCGCCGUUGCAAAAGGAAUUCAGCGAGAUUGAAUACAGGAAAAAAUGAAGGUAAGCGGAAUGCAGAAUCACAGCAGUAAAGAGUAAAGACUGGUGUCUUUUGCCAAGGGCUUGAACUUGAAGGAAUCAUUGAUGGUGGUGGACCCAGAUGCAGACUUUUUUGCCAAACACAAUAAUUGAGUGGUGACCGGUGAGUAAACGAAAGCAAAGGGGAAAGCAAAAGCGCAUAAAAAAGCUGAUGCCAGACUCUGUUGAGUAAGGUGGGUAGUGCCAGCUUUUUAUUUGUUUUUCUUUUUAAUAUACUCAUUUCUUUUUCUACUACUAUUAUUAUUAUUAUAACAGACGAAUAUUUGUUUCAACAUUAAUAUUCCUAAUAUUAUACUUUCAUUUUUUGUAGUAAUAAUGAUUUCAACAUUUGUGUUAAUACUAUUAUUUUUAAUAAUUAUAAAUAGUAUUGCAAUUCUACAAUUACUAUCACUAUAUUUUUAUUGCUUAUAAUUAUUAUUAAUAGAAUUUAUUAAUAUACAUAUAUAUAAAACAUUUUUACAUCAAUUUAAUGGAGUAGGUGGAUGGAUGUUGAUUUGACCAUUUUUACAUAUUGAUUGAUCCAUUGUCUCAAUUCAAUGGUGGGUCGAAAGCAUUUUUAUAUCAAGUUGGUGGAGUAGGUGGAUGAAUAUUGACUGAUAAAUUGUCUCAUGAAUUUCUUUUCUGUUUUUUUGUUAAAAUUUUAUUCCUUGAAAGUUAAAACCAACUUAAAAUGCAUUGUAAAAUAAGUUUCAAGCUAUUAACUUGGAAUUACAAGAAUCAUUUUCAAUAAUUAACAUUUUUAUUUUUAAAAAGUAACUACUAAAAUUAAGAUUUAAUUAUGAUUAUGAAAAUUGUUGCUUUUUACAUUUUUAUAAUGAUACUGUUUUUUACAUAUUAAAUUUUUGGAUUGUAAUGUGACUUUUCUUUAAUUGGGAUGUCUAAAAAAGAAGUAAGAUAAUUAGAAAUCUUAUUUCCAGCACUGUUUGGAGUUCUUACUUUCUAUUGUGAAUUUGAAAAUUAAAUUAAAAAUAUUUUUGAUAAUGUUUCUAUUAUAACGUUAUAUUUAAUUCUCAAAAAAUAUUAAAAAAAAUACAAAAAAAUGAUUUUCUUAUAUUUAAUUAUGAUAUAAAAAAUAUCAAAGAAAAUAAAAUAUAAUUAAAACUAAUUAAAAAUUUAUAUAUUUGUAAAUUAUUUAAUUUUUAUAUAGAUGAGUUAAAAUAAGUUUAAAAUAGUAAAUAAAAAUAAUUUAUUUUUAUUUUCUUUCACUUUUUCUUUUUUUUUUAAUUUUUCUUUCACAUUUUCUUUCAAUUAUUUUGGGAAUCAAACAUAAUUGAAGUGUUUAUAAUAAAAACGCUUUUUCUAAAAAUGAUUUUAAGAGAAUCACAUAUCCAAUGUUAAUUUUUUUAAAAUAUUAUAAGUAAUUUUUUAAUAGUAAAAGUGAUUUUUAAAAUUUUUAAUAAUAUUUUCUUAAUUUUAUCAAAUACUUCACCUUUUUUUUUUUUAAGUAGAAGCACUUUUUUAAAUUAUUGUUAAACUAAUUCUAACAAUAUUGAAACCACCAAAACAUACUAUUUAAAAAUCAUAAUAAAUAUUAGGUGAAUGAUUCAAGUAGGCAUGGAUUUUCCUUUAUUUUAUUUUAUUUUAUUUUUUGUAACCAGGAGUGUUGGAUUAAACUUGAUAUUAACACCAAAGGCCUCAUUUUUGGAAUUUAAUUAACAAAAAAUUCCUUUUCAAGUUGAUAUUAAUAUAAAUAAUUUUAUGGAGUCCAGUUUUCUGCAAACAUACUUCUUUCAUUGAAUCAAUUUUGGUGGGUGGUGGAAUUUUUUUUUCUUUUAUUAUUAUCAAUUUGGUGGAGUCGGUGGGUAGAUUGGUGGAAUCGGAUACUGCCAAAAAAGCAAAAGCAUCCAUAGGAUGAUGCCUACCAUUCCUUCUUUUCCACUUUUAUUUUUUGAAAUUUUAAUCCUUUCACUGAAUUUGACAACCAUCUUAAAAUAAUUAUUCGGAGCUGAUUUAAAAUAAUAAGGAUCAUUUUUAAUAAUUUUUUUUAAGAAAAAAUAAUUAUUGUCUUACACUCUAUUUGAUAAUAAUUUCAAAAAAUAUUUUUAAUUUUAAAAAUUAGAUAUUUAUUAAAAUAUAAAAUAUAAAAAUCUAUUUAUAAUAUUAAAAAAAUCACUUAUUAUGUUUCCUAAAAUAACACUCGAGUUCAUGGCUGAGAUUUUGUACCGGAUGAAGUUGAUGACCUCCGGAGAAACCAACCAGUCGAAUAGAACUUGAACUUGAAGGGAAGCCGAGAGGAGUGCGUUCGCCGUACCUGUUGACUGCAAUUCUGGAGGCUGGUCUCUAUUGCCAAAAUGCACAAGCUUGGAGGAAUGAUUGAUGGUGAUGGACCCAGAUGCUGACUUUUUGGCCAAACACCAUAAUUGAGUGGUUAUUAAAAGAAAGCAAAGGGGAACCAAAGGCCAAAAAAGCUGUGGUGGACCCAGAUGCUGACUUUUUUGCCAGACACCAUUGCCUUGUGACUUGUUAGUAAAACAGAGCAAAGGGAAAAGCAAAAGCAGAAAAAGCAAUUUUUUUUCUCUAAAAUAUCUAUUGGAGUGUCCCACAUUUCUAGUCGGAAUAUAUAAUUUUUUUAAUAAAAAAAUUAUUCUAUAGAUUAUUUUCUAAAUUCAUGUACAAAUGUAAUUAGAUUUUUUAUAAAAUAAAAAGACAGUAGAUUAACCAAUGACAACCACAUACAAUUUAAUAAUUAAUUAAUUAAUUAACUAAUAUUAGGUUAAUUCAGACUCAAAUUAUUUGACCAUCAUAGUCAUGAGAGCCUAAAAGAGAAGCUAACAGCAAAGAGGAUGCAUACAAUAAAACCAAAAUUAUGUGGUAUUCCCAUCAAGCAUAUCCUCCAUCACUUCUAAAAAGCAUUAAAAUUUUUGAGAUUCGGAUAGGAUUCAAGCAACUUGCAAAGAAAUUUCCCAUAUGAAGUUGGUAAUUAUUAGGAAGAGAAAAUUUAUAAUGGAAGAAGGAUUGGAUUGGAAGUAAUUGUUUGAAGUCGUCAACAUCAUGACAAAGUUGUUGGUAACUGUGAGGCUGAGAGAUUAUUGUGGGCUCUCCUCCACAUGCCUGCCCAUGUGUCGGACCACGUGUCGCACACCCUCAGCCUUGUCUGAAUAGAUGUCAUAGUGACCAUUCUAUUCGGACCACACCUGCACCCCACCUAAGUGGGCAACAUCCCCCAACCAGACUCUGUGUCCUCUUUGCUAUAUAUAAUUAUUUUCAUCUAACAUAGGAAUGACUAAUGCGAUCUUCUUCAACCUUACGUCCAUGUUAGUGGAUUCUCACACAUUGUCCCACAUCUUCAGCAAGUUGAAACGACGGGCAGCUGCAUCAUGACAUAUUGGCUGACGACACUUGCCAACCGCUCUAAAUAAUGAUGAUUGUAAUGGGCAACCAUCAUUAUAGGAAAAGUCAAAGUGCCAACUUAGUACAAUAGUGACUCCCUCCUAAAGACUAUAAAAACCCUCCUAAAGACUAUAAAAACCCUCCUAAAGAUUCCCCCAUUUUCUCUCCUCUCUAAAGGUUCCUAUCUACCUGUGCCUGAUUUAAGCUUUGAAGGGACGUACUUGAACAACUUGUCCGAACAUCCUUUAUGCAGGGAAGAAGCUUGUCAAGAUUCCAAUUUAGCAGAAGCUCUCAAUGGCACAACAAGGGGAGAAUCCAUCUCUAGUUGACUUCGCAUCAACAAUUAUUAUUUGAAACAUCAUAUUAAAUAUCAACCUCUUAUUCAUCAAAAGAUUGGCAACAAGAAAAUUUGGCCUAACUAGUAGAUAGGUUUAAUCGCAUGGUCCAAACUAAGAUUGAAAUAAGAAUGCAAGCUUUGUGUCCACAACAUGCUUUCAUAUUGCUGAUAUACAAAACCACCGGGUGGUUUUCUAAGUUUUGAAUAUUCCAAAAGCUUGAUAGACUUUUGGAGUUGCCAAAAUUUCUAUAUAGAUAGAGUUCACAACUGUUUUGAAUUUUCAAAACACCUAAAAAAGAGACCUUUUGCAACAAGUACUUGCCAAUUUUUCAAUACUUGUAAAAGUGAGAACAUGGACUGGUGAAUCGUGUUACAUCAACUGGAAGAGAAGAUGACCAUCUUGGUGCUUACCUACCAUCUUGAAAUUUGUAACCAUAGUGUAGCAACCUGAGUUUUGGGUCAAAAUGGCCCAUUUACACAAAUAUAUAUAUAUAUAUAUAUAUAUAUAUAUAUAUAUAUAUAUAUAUAUAUAUAUAUAUAUAUAUAUAUAUAUAUAUAUACAUAUAACCAUUUUAUGAAACUUAUAUUCAAAUUAGCCUAUUUGAUGUCACGUAGGAGUCGUGUUAUAAAAAUAUAUAUAUUUUUUCAUAAUUUUAGUUAAAGUCUCAAUUGACAAUUUAUGCUUUAUUUUUAAAUUGAAGUCGCAAUUGCUAGUUGAGGUUUCAUUUUUUAACUGAAGCCUCAAUUGAUAACUGAGACUUUAUUUUUUAACUAAAACCUCAACUACCAACUGAGGUUUCAAUGAUUUUUUUUAUUUAAAAUUAAUUAAAAACUAUUAAAUUAUAAUUCAUUAAUUAAAUUAAAAAUAUAUACUUUAAUAAUAAAUUAGUCGUCAACCCAUCAUCUCAUCAGUGUCAACAUCAUUACAACCCCCUACCUUUUUAUCUCUAUAAUUAGUACAGUCACCCAUAUCUUCAGAUCUACCAUCAGUGCAAUCCCUUACCUCUUCACACUCAUCACCAAUGCAACCCCUUACCUCUUCAAACUCAUCAUUAGCAUAACCCCCUAUUUUUUAAAACUUAUUUUCAAUUUAGCUCCUUACCUUUUCAUACCCACCAUUAGCACAACCCCCUACCUCUUCUGACCCACUAUCAGUAUAACCUCUAACCUCGUUAGACCUACCUCCAUUACAACCUCCUACCUCUUCAGACUCACUAUCAGUGUAGCCCCCUACCUAUUCAGACUCAUUAUUAGUACAACCACAUACUUCUUCAGACCCAUUUUUAGUGUCUGCUAACCCAUAUGUCGAUCCCCUUUCAUUGCACCUAGAUGUUUCCUUAGCUACUUCACUAGGACCUGAGUUUAGGACAUUAGUUCUACUAUCACCGGAGUCAUUUAUAUUUGAUUCUAUACCUAUGCGAUUGACACAUCUACUCAGUUAGAUUUAUCCCCAACCAUUUUGAAAGGUAGGUGUGACCUACAUUGACUUAGAUUGCUACCUCCACCACCACCUCUAUUCCAACUCUAGCUUCAACACAAAUAGAUGUUCUUCAUAUGUCAAAUGUAGUAUCUACUACAGUUAGAAAAGAGCAACCAAAACAGAAGAGAGUACCAAUUACAUAUGAGUUAUCUCCUUGUGGAGACAUGUGAGAUUAUAUAUGUUUUUUUUUCCCACUAUAUAAAUGUUUAAUGGGUAUUUUUUUGUGACUUUGAUGAAACUACUAAAAAUUAUAUUUUGUAGUAGACUUUUUCUAAUUAAUUUCAUUAACUAAUUUUAUCAAAAAAUCUAUAUAUGUCAACUUAAGGGUGUACUAUUAUUUUAAUAAAGAUAAAUUUGUCAUAAUACAAAUAAAUUAUUAUCUUAAAUUAAUAAAUUAUAUAAUUUUAUAUCUUAUUUAUAUGUUAUAUAAAAUUAUUAUUUUAAGAUUAUUAAUUUAUUAAUAAAUAAAAUAUUCAUUUAUAAUGUCUUCUAUUUAUCAAUUUAUAUUUGUUAAAGUAAUACUAGAUUCUAAGUUUAAAUAUAAAUAAUUUAUUAUGAAAGUAUAUAUUUUUAAUUUCAAUAAUAAAUUGUAAUUUAAUAGUUUUUAAUUAAAUUUUAAUUUUUUUUUAAAAAUUAACUAGCCUUAGUUAACAAUUGAAACUUUAAUUUAAAACUGAAACCUCAGUUGACAAUUGAAGUUUUAACUAAAAUGAUGAAAAAAAAAAAUUUUAUGACAUGACUCUUAUGUGGCAUCAAAGAGACCAAUUUGAAUAUAUAUAUAUAUAUAUAUAUAUAUAUAUAUAUAUAGAUAUAUAGAUAUUAUAAAUGGGCCAUUUUGAACCAAAACUCGUAGCAACCUUGUUUGUACCAUUAGAACAAGAAAAUGAGACCAUACUAACAAAGAAAACACUAUAAGAACAAACAUAUGUUCAACUAAAGUUCAUGAUAUAUAGAACUUCCGAGAUAACACAGAUUGAACUAAAGGGGAAAGGACAAGGGGGCACAGGAACUUCAACAACUCUUUCAAGCAUCAGUAUUACCAUUCCCAUGUAGGGCCUCAAAGAAGGGUCCUCUUGGAUGCACCAAAGGGCAACCAUCACCAUCCACUCCAUCAUCGCCAUCUCAUUUCUUGUUUCAUCAUCAUUCUUCACUAGCUUAUCCAAUCUGUGCCCUCUAUAGCAAUCAUAAGCUCAAUCAGUUAGUAUUACUUCCUCGUCAUUUUCCGGCUGUGAAUGUUGAAAAGCACAGAAAUGGAAACAAGGACACAUAAUUUGCAUUUGAAACUGAGGGCAGUUUCAAUAGUCUGAACUAAAGGGGAAAGUACAUGGAGGCGCAGAAACAUCAACCAUGCCUUCAAGCAUCAGUUUGACAAUUCUCAUGGAAGGCCUUAAUGAAGGGUCCUCUUGAAUACACCAAAUUGCUACCACCACUAACCUCUCCAGCCCUCUGUAGACCCUCAAUUUUGUUCCUUUAGCACAUGUCUUUAAAUUCGUUUUCAAUGCUCCACAAUAGUUCCUUGGUGGCCCAUGGCUACUCAUACCACUUACCUUUUUCUAAGUCACCUCGGAGAUUUUGGUUGAGGGAUUAUUUGAUCCUUUAUUGUGACCCUUGGCAGCCCUAACUUAGACUUAGGCUUUUCUUGUUUUUUUAGGAUAGCUUUUAGAUACACUUGGCCCAUUAGGCACUACCCUAGGCCCACUUAGUCUCACCUUAGGCCCGUUUAGGCACACUAGGCCUACGAAGACUUUUAUUUUAUUUUAUUUUAUUUUAUUUAUUUAUUUAUUUAUUUUGUUUUUAAUUUUAAUUUUAUGAUUAUCAUUCACUUUUUAUUGGUUAUCUUCCUCUUUAUAUUAUUUUCCUUAACUUAUUUAUUUAUUUAUUAUUUUUACCAUUUUUUAAUUUAUUUACUUAUUUAUCUAUUCAUGCAAUUAUUUAACUUCAAAAAUUUCAUGUUUUUGCAAGGAAACUUACCAUUGGAGUUUAAGGAAGACGGGACUCUCCUUGGAAGGUUUUGGAGGGGAAGUUGAAAUUGGGAAGAUUGCUUUUGAUUGGAGGAUUUAAAAAAAGAAGAGAAGAAGAAAGGAAGGGGGAGAAUUUUCCUUUUUGGAAACAAAUUUAGGUCUUGAGGGGUGAUAUAUAUAGGUGAGAAAAGGAAAAGAAUAGAGAGAUUUUUCUUGGGGGGCAGAGCACACGGAAUUUUGGAAAAAAGCAAGGGACUUCGAACGGAGAUCGGGCUGUCAUUUAAUCAUCAAGAGAGGAUUUUCUCUUUCACUUCAAAGGUUAGUUUUCUAUAUAGUACUUUUAUUUAGCCUAGAUUUUUUUUUUUUUUUUUUUUGGAAAUUUUAGUUUUUGAUUAAUUCUUUGUGUUAAAGUUUAUAUUAUUUUCUUUUUAAAUCCCCAAUUAGUUUAAUUCUAAUCUAUCUUUUAGUUUAAGUUUGUUAAUGAUUUUAAUUCUUAAGUUUAAAUAAUCAUAUUGAAUAAAGUUUGUAUUUUUAAUCCCAAUUAGUUUGAUUUCAAUUCGUUUUUAAUUUAAAUGCAUUAGUUGAUCUUAAUUCUUUGUUUUAAAUAAUCACGUUAAAUAAAGUUUGUAUUUUUAAUCCCAAUUAAUUUGAUUUCAAUUCGUUUUUUAGUUUAAAUGUAUUUUGUUGAUCUUAAUUCUUUAGUUUAAAUAAUCAUAUCGAAUAAAGUUUGUAUUUUUAAUCCCAAUUAGUUUGAUUUUAAUUUGUUUUUUAGUUUAAAUGUAUUUUGUUGAUCUUAAUUCUUGACUUUAAAUAAUCACGUUAAAUAAAGUUUAUGUUUUUAAUCUCAAUUAGUUUGAUUCCAAUUCGUUUUUAGUUUAAAUACAUUUUAUUGAUCUUAAUUCUUAAGUUUAAAUAAUCAUAUCGAAUAAAGUUUGUAUUUUUAAUCCCAAUUAGUUUGAUUUUAACUUGUUUUUUAGUUUAAAUGUAUUUUGUUGAUUUUAAUUCUUAAGUUUAAAUAAUUGUAUUGAAUAAAGUUUGUAUUUUUAAUCCCAAUUAGUUUGAUUUCAAUUCAUUUUUAAUUUAAAUGCAUUAGUUGAUCUUAAUUCUUUGUUUUAAAUAAUCACGUUAAAUAAAGCUUGUAUUUUUAAUCCCAAUUAAUUUGAUUUCAAUUCGUUUUUUAGUUUAAAUAUAUUUUGUUGAUCUUAAUUCUUGACUUUUAAUAAUCACGUUAAAUAAAGUUUGUGUUUUUAAUCUCAAUUAGUUUGAUUUCAAUUCGUUUUUAGUUUAAAUACAUUUUGUUGAUCUUAAUUCUUAAGUUUAAAUAAUCAUAUCGAAUAAAUUUUGUAUUUUUAAUCCCAAUUAAUUUGAUUUUAAUUUGUUUUUAGUUUAAAUGUAUUUUGUUGAUUUUAAUUCUUUACUUUAAAUAAUCACGUUAAAUAAAGUUUGUGUUUUUAAUCUCAAUUAGUUUGAUUUCAAUUCGUUUUUAGUUUAAAUGCAUUAGUUGAUCUUAAUUCUUAAGUUUAAAUAAUUAUGUUAGAUAAAGUUCAUGUUUUUAAUCCCAAAAUAGUUUAUUUUUAAUUUAUUUGUUAGUUUAAAUAUGUAUGUGAUUUUAAUUUAUUAGUUUAAAUAAUCAUGUUAGAUAAAGUUUAUAUUUUUUUUUAAUUCUAAAUUAGUUCAGUUUUAACCUAUCUUUUAGUUUAAGUAUAUUUGUGAUUUUAAUUCAUUAGUUUAAAUAAUCUUGUUAGAUAAAGUUCAUAUUUGAAAUUCCGAUUUAGUUUAGCUUUUAUUUAUUUUUAAUUUGGAUGUGUUUGUAAUUGUAAUUUAGUAGUUUAAUUAAUCUUAUUAAAUAAAGUUCAUGUUUUUAAUUACAAUUUAAUUUAGUUUUAAUUUGUUCUUCACUUGUAUGUGUUUGUGAUUUGAAUACAUUAGUUUAAUUAAUCCCGUUAGAUAAAGUUUAAUCUUGAUUUAAUUUAUUUUUUUAGUCUAGAGGCAUUUAUGUGUUUAGUUAAUCUUAUGUUAAUUAUGGAUUGUUAUUCUCAAUUUAUGCGCUUCUUGAAUCCUUGUUGCUAAUUCUUGAUGGAUAUUUCAUUAGCUUAUUUGAUCUAAAUAUUAAUAAUUUAUUGCUUUGAUAGUUUCCUUUUUGUUCAAAGGCCAUUGGAAAAUCAUGAAGAUUGGCCUCUACCAUCACCAUUAUCAUUUUUGUUAAUUAUUAAAAAAAUUUUACUUUGAGGUUUCAUUUUUGUUUUGUUGGGUAUUUUAUUUCUUAUAUUUUAUUUUUUCCAAAUUAAUUCCUUUUAUUUUAAAAUAAAAUACUUUUCUCAAAAAAAUCAUUUUAAAAAUCUAUUUCAAAAACUCAUUUAGAGUCCUCAGGAUCAAAAUCUCUUUUUUUUUUUUUUUAUUAUUUAAAAAUAAUAUGAAACCAUAUCUUGUUCGGUUUGCAUCAUUCUCGGUUUUUAACAAAAAUUUUGGUUUUGAACAAAGACACGAAUCAAAGCUUGUGGUCCCACAUAAAUGGGAUAAUUCUGAGCUAAAUUCGUGUAUAUCAAUUGGGGAAUUGGUGAAACCCCUACAUAAGAAAAUCUUUUCAAAAAUUAUUUUUGUUGCCAUUUUUGUCACUUGUUGAAAUUAUGUCUAUCUUUUUUAGGAAUUGUAUAUAAGAUGUGUGUGAUAAUUAAUGUUUUCAUAUACUUUGAUAAUUUUUGUUAUGCCAAUUAGAUAACAAGCAUGCUAGGGUUUCUUUAUUUUAUUAUUAUCUAAUCCCUCAUGUCUUAUGGGAGCGCAUUGUAAGUUAUUUAUGCUAUCCAGGUACGCCCCCCCCUAUCGCCUACUUUCUAAAUUUUGUAAACAAUCGUGUCACUAUGAAGUAUGCAUAUGUUUGAUAAUCCUUAGGUGUUUAGAUGUGUGUUAUACUUCUAUACUAACUCUGAUGUUUUAUGAUAGCGCUUGAGAAGCGGUCCGGGUACGCAUCCUAACCUUUCUUUUAUGGCAAUUUGAUCUUGUUUAGCAUGCAAAUCUUUUGAAAUCACCUAGCCUACUUAGUAUCCAUAAUUAACCGAUUAAUUGCCAUAUUCCCCUUAACUUAAUUAGUAGAGACCUCUUUAGGGCUUAGAGGGGUGCUACCUCCUAGAGGUACCUUCCCAAUAAGUAACCUGAUCCCCGGACCAAGACUUGGGUUUUCGAAGACACGCUUUUCCAAAAAUUAUGGAGUCAUUUUUUUAGGGUUUUAUUUCUUGUUUUAUUUUCCCUUCAAAAAUAAAAAUAAAAUAAGUGGCGACUCCAACUUUUUUUAAAAUUAAUUUUUCACAAUAAAAAGUGAGUCUCGCCGAUCGAGUGGGGACGCACGUGAAAAAUGCGGGUCCACACCCUCCUCAUGUCAGUUCUUGCCUCAUCAUCAGUCUCCACAAGCAUAUCCGAUUGGUGACCUCUAUAGCAAUCAUAAGCCAAUCAGGAAGGAUGGCUUCCUCUUCAUCUUCUGUUUGGAAAUCAAUGCACCUCCUGCAACAAAUGAUUUCCAGUAACAUGACCCCCAUAACUAUAAGCGUCUAUUUUUGCUGUAAUUGACUUGCUCUUGAACCAUUCUGACACAAGUCCCUCUGAUGGUUAUAAGUGCCUGAGUUUCAUCACUCAUCACAAGUUUUGUCAAUCCAAAAUCGGAAAUCCUUGCUGUGAAUGAAUCAUCCGGAGGACAUUUUGAGGCAUGAUGUCACAGAGGAUGAUCUGUGUGCUACACUCCUGAUGCAAGUACAUCAGCUCUCUUGCAAUCUCAAAUCCCAUUCGAAAGUGGAUAUUUCUUCUUCCAGAAGGUUUCUUCUUUAAUUUAAAGACAGCAACCACACAAUUGUAGUCAUAUACAUAAGAUAUCCAGCAGAGGUCUUCACCUAAGCAUUCUAUCUUCUCAAAGUUUGCAGUGGCAGUCCAAACUAUGUUAAGACUUCUCUUGUAAGUUCUCUGGGUUUGAACCUUCUCCUUGUUCACCUUUUUGUACCAUCUUCAGCUUGCAGCCAUUGGGCUUGUUGUAUGGAUCAACAAGGGAAAACCCAAAAAGACACUCACAAAUUAGUCUUCCUUUUGAGUCAGGUAUGCAGUAACUGUUAAUUAAAGCCACAACUCUCAGUCUCCCACCUCCCAAAUCUACCUGAAUCUCAGAGCAAAUGUCCUUUGGGUGUAUUAGGACUGAACCCAGCUUCUCUUUCUCUGGAGCUUGGGCGAGUAUAUUUUCUGAAAACUCCAUCAAAAUCCAGCAUUUCCCAGUAGUAGUAAUCUCUGGUUGAAUCUGCACUUCCUGACAUGAGGAUAGCACUCCCUCUGUUUCGUAGAACAACAUGAAGGUGAUCCGAAUCAUCAAAAAUCAUCCAUUCAUCAGAAUUGCUGCCAUUUCCAGAUUAAAGGUGUUAAGGACAAAAUUUCCAUCAGGCAGCAAAAGAGGCUGGAACCUUCCCUUUGAGUAGUUGCCUUCAUCUUACUGAGAAGACGCAAUGCCACCACUUUCUAAUAUUUUAGUUGGCAAGAUGGUAUCAAGCAUGGCGGCGUAAACAACCCCAUUAACACCAGACCCAGCUUUCCAUAUGACUUGGUCCUGACCAUCAAGUGUUAACUGACCAUCAAUCAUAAGCUCUACUUCAUAUUCCAAUUUUUUUUCCAGGGAUUUUGUCAACCAGAUAGUUAGCCUGCUCGUGGACGAAAUCCAAAAGCCAAGACCCUGAUGGCAAUUUCCAUGAAAAUGAGCAAUCAGAAGCCAGAAGAGACAAUCCUAAACUAGUAUUAUACUUGGUUUCAGCUACAGCAAGAAAUGGUAGAACAAAGAGAAGCAAGAGGCAUCCAUGGCCAACAACAGGAAAAUCCAUGUUGGUAUAGAGAAUUUGGAGAACUUGUUCAAAUUAUACCACACUUUUUAAGACGAAAAGAAGGUUGAUUGCAGAGACCCUAUGAUCAGAUUUGAAGAGUACACCAAUGGAAAGUUACUGAAUCCAUUAUCAAGCUAAUUACCUAUCAAUAUCUAAGGCUUGAUUUUCCAUUUUUAGUAGAAAAAAACUGUUCUGAGACAGUCAUAGAAGUCAAUAGUUUUCUUAUUGACGGAAAACAAAAAAUUAAAGAUAUGCCAUAAAUUCUUGUUUGGAACUCAAUCUUGAAAAAAAGUAUGUGGUUUAUUCCUUGUAAAGGAGUUCUAGUCUCUUGCAUAAAUCAACGUUUUGGUCUUCCAGGUGGAUCAUAUUUUUUGAUAUCUAGAAUCCACCAAGGUAUGUAGUAAGGCAUUUAUCCUAAUAGGUUGAUCCCUUACAAACAAAAAAGUGGCUCUUGACAGAAAAUGAUUAGGAAGGCAUGCAAGUAACAAAUACAAAUUAAAUAUAAUGUAAGAUUUUCAUGGAUUAAAAAAAAUACAUGGCAAAAUAGUAUAUAUUAUUUCAACCAGGGAACAUAUGUGAAUGUUGUAUUUUUUGAUAUCUAGAAUCCACCAAGGUAUGUAGUAAGGUAUUUAUCCUAAUUGGGGUUGAAACAAACCUGAAUGAUAUAAAUCCACCCCUCUAUCUUACAUCACUUCAAUACCGAAGAUACUCAGAACUCAGAACCUCGCUAAGUUAGAAGCAUAUGUAAAAGUUGUAUUCUAUUCCAUAAGGGAAACACUCUAUACUCAGUAGCAUAAACAAGCCCCGAAAGCCACUUAUCUCUUUUUUUUUUUUUUGGCCUUUUUACUUAUUCUCAUCUCUCAUGACCAGAAGUGCUAAGGAUGAUAUAACCUCAUCAAAUAAGUUAGAAACCAGCCCAUCUAGCAGGUUCAGUAGCUGACCUGCUCUCAAUCUUCUUUGAGUCACCAAUAAGCUGGGCAUUAUGCCUCCAACAGUGGGUCUGGAAAUAUUAGAGCUGGCAGCAGGGGUGGCUGUAAAACUCUCCUUUCCAAAACACCAAGUUUCAGGCCCAGAAGUUGCUUCUGUGGCUGGUUUGUUGUGAUGACCAUUUUCUGGUCCUAAACACUAUCCUUAUCCCUGGAAAGAGGCUGCUGCUGUUUGGGCUCAUCACCAAAAGCCUGCCAUAGCUUAGAGUCUGGUAAGGGGAAUCGGAUUUUCUGUGCUGGAGUUUCCAGACUGUUGCUUCAAUCUUUUCUCUCUGCUGUUAUGAGAAGAGAAAAUAUCAGGAAAAUGAAUCGAUGGAAGAAAUUGUUUUAAAUCCAAUAGGCAUGUGUGAGAAUAGGAGAUGAUACUGGAGGAGUAGCAGUUGACUGAAGUCCAGUUGAGGUUCAGUUUUUCAAAGCAUCACUGUGGGGUGAUGGAGUUCAAGCAGCAAGAGCUUGCUUGAGUUCCUGUAUCUUCUUCAAUGCCCAUUUAUUCAGGCUUCUUCAAGUGGCUUAUGAUUGGUGGAGGUGCUUCCAUAAUCCAUCAGGGUCCAAUGGAAGAUUCUCAGCUUUUAAGUCUCUGAAUCAUACAAUUAAGAAAAAUGAAGAAUGUCGAAUAAGACAAUACAAAUUUGUGGGCAGGACCGAAAAAUGAAGGAAUAGUGGGAAUAUCUAUUAAGAGCAUAAUAAAUGACAAAACUACCAUAUGACAACACAGCAAAAAAUUCAUAAACAGCCCUGAACAAACAAUAAAUUCUCAUUUUUUGAAUAGAGAAGAACCAUUAAAAUGUGCAGGAAAUGUUUUAAAGUAAAAUCUAUUAAAAACUUUCACUAAGACUUGGACUCUUUAACUUUCUUUUCAAAUAAUCUGAAAACCCCUGCUGAGAAAGAAUAAUGAGAACCAACUACUAUGGUUGCCGAUAGAAGGGUAGGGAUGGCAAUGAGAAUUCUGCUUGUGAGAAGAUAGAAAAAGAAGAUCGUCACUUCCUGGACCAUAACUAUAGUCCAAAAUGGGAUCCAUGACAUUGAUCUCAAUGAUCAUCUCCACCACAGUAGAAAAUAUACAGAAAUUCCUAGUCAAAGUCAAGACCUAAGGAAAGCCAAAACAAGAACAAAACAUUGCCAAAAUUGAAACAAAAACAAGAGUGCAUCAACUUCCAAACAAAGAUUUUUGUCUAUCUGCCUACCAUUUGAAGGUUGUCCACUUGGUUAGUGCAAAAUAGACUAGCUUUUGUUACAGAGACUGCCAAUCAAUGCAGAUUGCUAAACCAAAAGAGAGUUCAAACAACCAAGCAACCAAACAGUUUUCAAAAUGAUUAUUGUUGUUUACCUCACAUGUUUUUCUAUAGUCAUAACCACACUUUGUUUCUCAUAAGAAGUCUUCUAUGUUAAUCCUGGUUGCUUAUUACAAUAUACAAAAAGGAAAAGAAAAAAAACAAAAAGUAGUGAUUGAUUUAGUUUGAUAUUGAAAUGAACAGAGUCACAACAUGAACAUACACAAGUAUGAUAUCCUAAAAACAAUUUGCAAAAAUCCCUAACUAUUUAUCCAUAUAUUAUGCAAAUAUUAUUUACACACUUUACUUUAAUUCCAAGCAUAUUUCAAAAACCAUAAAUUACCUAAAAUGUAUCAACAAAUAGAGUUUGCUGCAUGCCCAAAUUCCCCACAAUAGGACUAGAAAAUUAUUUCUGUAGAAACAAAUUGAGAAGAUUGUGAGAUUUGGAUUGCAAAAGGAGGUCAAGACCUUUUCAAUGUAGAAGGUUUAAGUAAUUUUGUCUAUUAAACAGUGAGAUGUUUUUAGGCCAUUGAGAACAUGAACCAAAAUAAAGAAAACCUUUUUGCUUUAGUGAAAAAUAAGACAUUGAAAUGAUAUGCAAUCAUAAAUCUUGCAAUUUUGUAUAUUGCAGAUUUAAUUCUCCACUUCUAUUACACUGGAAAGAGAAUAGCAGCAAGAAAAGACCAAAGCAAUUAAAAUUACUUACUGCCAAAGCACAAUACGUCCCUGGUUUCCUCCAUGCCUGUAUAAGAGAAAAUAGACCAAGAAAGUGAGAAAAAACCGAAGCAUCCAUGGUUUUCCAUAGUUUUCAAGUGGUUCACUUGGCUUAGGCACACCACCAAAUAAAAACAGCGCAUGAAAAUGAGAGUACCAUUAGAAUAUGACAACUAUCUGUAUCAAAAUGUGAGCACUUUGGUUCAAUCCUCCUCCACUCCUCUUCAAUAUUUGUUUCAGACUUGAAGCCUCGAAGAAAAAAGAAAUCUCUAGCACACCUGCCACCAUUAAAAAAGUCAGCCUUGGAAAACAGACAUAAAAUUCCUCACCUAAUGUUGACAUGGACUCAAACUAUCUAAAGCUAACCUAAAUUCAUGGAGAUCAAUGGCCAAUCAAGCAAAGCACAUGCCUGUGUGAUGUUUGGUUGAUCAUCUGGAGAAGCUUGGAUCAUGUCCAUCAUUAGAUCUGUCACAUAGGAGCUGCAUGUUGGUAAUUGUCGAAUGAGGAAGUUUCCAUUUGAGAUAAUAGAUGGUGAGAAAUAUAUAGUCAGAAAAAUAAUAAAGCACAUAACCUGAUAUUCUAUUGAUUGAUUCACCCAUUCACAAAUCAUUAGAAAGACUGGAAAUAUAGAAGAGCAAAUUUUCUAAUUCAAGGAGAUGGUGAAUAAUCUUAGAAUCAUCAUUUCUAUACAAAAUCAGGAAGUUCAAUGAGGAAAUUGCACUCAACCACUUUUAAGAUAAGAACAUCGAAAUGGAAAACAAAGCUUCAAAAAAGUCUUAAAGUCUAGAACAAUUUAAUUGAAAUAUUCUUCUCAGGAGUUUCACAGUAUAAACCUCCAUUAAGACCUGGACUCUUUAAUUUUCUUUUCAAAGAAACAGAUGACUUGGAUAAACAAUGAGAACCAAUGCCCAUGGUCACUUACACAAGUGUAUGCAUGACCAUGACAAUUCUUCUAAUGAGAAGCUAGCACAAGAAGACUGCCACCUCAAGGAUCCAUGUCAAUGACCUCGAUGAUCAUCUGCAGGGCAACAAAAAAUAUACAGAAAUUCCAACUCAUAGUCAAGAUCUAAGAAAUUCCAAAAGAAGAACAAAACCACGUCAAAAUUGUGACAAAAACAAAUUCAGCAGCUACCUAACAAAAAUUUAUGUCUUUCUAGCUACUAACCUCUUGAAGUUGGUCCACUUGGUUACUGCAAAAUAAACAGCCUUUCGUAAUAAGGACUCCAAAUAAGCUAAGGCUAUUAAACCAAAAGAGUGUUUAAACAAAUAAAAAAUUGACCAAUUCAGUGCCAUAAAAUACUUCAUAUAAAAUUAUUGCUUUAGAAAUUGCAACUUUCUAAAUGAUCCUAGAUUUAAAUAUACAUUAGCAUAAAAUUGCAGUUGUUUACCUCACAUGUUUUUCUAUUGUCAUAAUCGAACUUUGUUCCUCAUAAGAAGGCAUUUAUGUUCAUCUUGGUUACUUAAUAUGGAACAUGUAUAGAAAAGAAAAAGAAAAACAAAAAGUUAGUGAUUAAUUUAGUUUGAUAUUGACUGGAGAAAAGUCACAAAAUAUGCAUAUGCAAGUAUAUUAUCCUCAAAACCACUGGCAAAAGGCACCAAGUACCCAACUAAGAACAUACUCGAUUAAACAUGAAUUACCUAAAAAUGUAUCCACAUGUUCCUGUGCAUGUGCAACAUAAAUACCCAGAUGGUUAGUAUCAUUUUUGCCCAUUCCGAAAGGUAAAUUGAAGAAGUCAAGGAAAUAAGAAAAUGGGCUUUGUUAAAAUACAAAUUACCUGGGAUCAAUCUUCCUUUCCCUUUUUUUUUUUUUUUCUUCCUCUGCUGGAGAACUUCUGAAAUCAAACAAAUAGAGUUUGUUGCCUGCCCAAAUCUUCAACAACCGGACCAGCCAAUAACUUGUGUAGAUGUACAAUUCUUCAAGAGUGUCAAACAGAUUAAAAGCCUUUGAAUGCAAAAAGGAGGUCAAGACAUUAACAAUGUAGAAGAUUUAAAUAGUUCUGGUAUCAAACAUAAUAAAAUUGAUUAAACAAAACCUUAAACAAUGAGGUAUUUUCUUCUAAACAGGAUGAGCUCCAUCAUUGUGUGAGCUAUUGAGAAUAUAAAAAAUAACGGAAUCAUAAGCAAUUAAAAUUACUUACUAAUAAGCAGCGAACUAGAAUGCAUCCAUGGUUUCCUCCAUGCCUGUAUAAGAGAAAUGGAAAAAGAAAGUGAGGAAAAACCAAGGCAUCCAUGUUUUUCCACAGUAAAUAAAAUUUGUGUUCACUUGGGUUAUGCAUACUGCCAAAUAAAAACAGAGCAUGAAAAUGUGAGUUCCAUUAAAAUAUGGGAAUUGUUUGUGUCAAAAUGUGAGCACCUAGGUUGAAUCCUCAUCUACAACUCCUCAAUAUUCGUCCCAGACUUGAAGCUUCAAGGAGACGAAAUUCUUAAAUCAAAUAAAUGGAGCCAAUGAAUCAUGUAGACAUAUUUUUUAGAUUAGAAAUUGGAACAUAAAUUUUCUAAAGAAUAAGUUUAAGCAUAGAACAAUUACCGCCACUUUCAUUAAAAUAGUUCAUUGAUGAUUAUAUUUGGAAUGUGAGAUAUAUAACACCAUUCUGGCCCUUUCUCAAAUUGGCACUGUUGUUUCAGUAAAGGACAUGGGUCCACAAUCAGACAAGAGACGGAGUCCGACAAUCUCUUUCUUGUCAAGUAUUGGAACUCACGGCAGCUGUAGAUAUGCAAGAUUUCAAGAGUGGUGAGGUAGUGAAGACCCGCUUCUGUCAAGGAUUGGAGCCUUGGGCAGUGCUGGAUUUGUAAUUCUUUGAGAGACACAAGGUGUUGAAGAACAGAUCCUGUCAAGGAUUGGAGCUCAGGGCAUUUCCUGAUGUCUAAUUUUACAAGAGAGGUGAGUUGUUGAAGCCCCUUGCUAUCAAGAGACUUGAGAUUUGGAAGACCAUAGAUUGCAAGAAAAGUCAGAGAAGAGGGCAGCAGGCACUCCUUGGGAAAUAAUUCCACGUCUUCACAUCCACCAAAGAUUGUGAAAUGAGUAAGAGAGGCCAGUCUUUGCAAAUCCCAGUCCACCUGGAACGUGAGUUGGUUGCAGAACCAAAUUUGAAGUUCACGUAGGCUGGAAGGCAAACCCUCUUUGUGAAACAACAAUUCUGGACAAUACAUUAAACUCAGUUUCUGCAGAGAUGAAUGGGUGUGCGCCAGCAAUUUGAGCUUGGAGCAGUUGUGAAUUUCAUGGGACACCGAGUCGAGAGCGGGCAGUUGGAUGUAUACAAGAUUAGCGCACCCCUUGAUUUCCAAUUUACGAAGAGAUGUAGGAUCCCCCUCUGAAAUCGAAAUGUAGAGCUUCUCAAGCCCCUUAAGACCAUUGAUUGUGAAAUUAGUCAACCUGGGGGAGAUGUCCAAUAUUGAGAAGGAUAACGGGAGAGAAUUAUCGUAGGUACCGCCAUUGAUCGAUAGAUUUUCAAGGGUAGGGUGAUGACAUCUGAACAACUCAGGUAGAAGAAGGUCCAAUUUGGUACAAUUAGAGAUUAAUAGCGAUUCAAUGUAGUGGGUAAGCCACCUUUGCUUGGGGAUCCGUAAAAAGAGCAAUCACAAAAUUCCAAACUGUACAUGUUGGUUUGCAGGAUUUCCCCCUCUAGUAGAGACUCCACAGAAUCAUACUUUGUAAUGGAGAGAUUGUGGGGUACCACUGGAAGUUGCUUCAACCGAGAGACGUUUGAAAUUUCAAUUUCUGAAGUUUGAAGAGCUGUAAAGCCACAAGUUUGCCUUUUCAACUGCAAUAUGUGUAAAUCCUAAGUUUCAUUAUCCACUCACAACCAUAUAGAUAUUGUUUAUUUUGGGUCUAAUAAGACCUCAUAACUUUAAAAUACGUUUACAUGAUUAUAAACAACUCAUACAUCAGACAAAGGUCAAAAAUUGACUUUCAUACUAUUUCUUACAAUCCAUUCUCUCUUAUAUAAAUAUUAUCUAUUCUGGAUCUAAUGAGCUCUUAUAGUUUUAAAACACACUUAUAUACUUAAAAAAAUUCAUGUACAUAUGGUAUAUAUGAGAAACUUUUAUACCAAUAUGAUGUGAGAUAUCCCACUAAAAGAGUAUUAACAAGUCCAUUAAUAAAACUCAUUUGAAGAAUUAAUGAAUUAUCAUGCAAGUACUAAUAUCAAAUGAUGUAGAACCACAUACAUUCCUAAAAGUUUAAGCUAAUGGGAGGUAGAGAUAGAUCUUAUAUCCUGUUGAUUACUAAUAUUGGUUGGAUUGACCUUAUAUAUAUAUAUAUAUAUAUAUAUAUAUAUAUAUAUAUAUAUAGACACAUACGUAGGAGGAAAGAAAGUUCAAUAUGAGCAAUUUUAUUUACCCAAGUUCUGACUUUGCAAGGAGCCGGGUAAUAAAACUAAAGUGGUCUACAUCCCUAAACUCACUGUUAUGAGUAGUAAGACCAUGAACCCAAUUAGAUGUGAAUAACAUUUUCUAUCGAGAGAUGACAUAUACCCAUGUAUGCCUCCACCCCACUCAUUAAAACCCCCCAGCAUGCAUACCGUGUGCAUGCAGUGUGCCAUCCAUGGAUAGAUCCUGUCCUUUUGGAGGAACACACAAUGACCAGCCCUGUAAUUGGAAUUUUGUCAAUCAAUACAGCACCUUCAGGACCAUGACCACAUGGCAUGACAGCAAGAAAUAGCUAGCCCUACAAACUAAAGGACCCACGAAAUGGACCAUCUAAUAACAAAAUACCAAGUCUAGCUACCCAGAAGAUGUGGUUGUCUUCCUUGUUUCUUUUGGUGGAAAUCAGAAUAAACCAGAUCACCAAACUUGUGGGCAGCCUGACUUUCAUAUAUAUACUCUGACCAUUCAGUUUGGUUUCUCCAAUAUUUACCAAAAUGAAAACCCCAAUUAAGAAAUCGAAGACGAGGAAUCUUAUAUAUGACUAAGCAUCCAUCACAACGGAAAUCUUAAACAUUGAUUGAAAUAUAAACAAGAACACAGGAAACUGUAUUUUUCAUACAUGAUAAAAAAGUGCAAUAAUUCAAGAUGAACUGAUAAAAAUUCCAAAGGGGCGUGGGGGCACAGAAACUUCAACUACACCCUCCAACAUCUGUGUAACCUUCCUCAUGGUUGAUGUCACGCCCCAAGACCCACUCCAAGGGUGUGACGGUCAUUUCACACCUCAAACCCGAAGGCUUAAAGUAUAAUCUGACCCAAACAGUCAUAUUGUAACUGGAUGUUACCAAUUACCAAAUACCUGCUCAGAGUAGCGGAAACAAAAUCUAAAAUCCUCAAAAUUCAAUUUCCAAAUAACUUCCAAAUACCAAAUGAUCCAAAAUAACAUAACUAAUAGUUAAACAAAAUCCAACAUAAAAUCCUAAGUCAAAUCCUAAUGAUGACCAUUCCUCAGCCUAGCCAUCACUCCUCACCCGAACUAAGAGUACCUGAAAAAUUUUCAACAAUUGGGAAUGAGCUCACAGCCCAAUAAGGAAUAUUAAUGCAGUUCAUGGAUCAAAUAUUUUCAUUUCAAAUAAGAGAUAUCAUUUUUUUUUUCUCAUCAAAUAUCAGAGUUUCAAAAAUACCAAUAUAUUCAAAAUUCAACCAACCAAUUUCAUAUCAAAUUCAAACACUUUCACAUAAGAUUCAAUCAAAUCCAUUCAAAUUUUCAUUACUCUGGUUAUCAAAUAUCAAAUGCCCAGUUAGGUGGGACUUUUCAAAUGGGUGGCUAGCCUCAGAUUGUUCCUGGUGGACGAAACCAAACACUACUAGUACUAGUAACCUCUAACCAAACCCCUAGAGGCUGGGGUCCAAAUCAAUUACAUUCCCACCAUGAAAUGUAAAGGUCAACUAUUAUAUCCCGUUGACAGGGCCGAAUAGUCAACUAUUAUUUCCCGUUGACAAGGGCCAAAUAAACCAGAGUGAUGUUCUUGUUCAAGUAUUCAAAUUUACACAACAUAUUAUCUCCAUAUUUUGUGUCAUAAAUAAAACAAAAUAUUUCAACAUAAUAUUUAGUGCAAAACAGUUUGAUCCAUGCAUGGUAACAAAAUAUCAUUUUCUUUUCCACAAUUCAAAAUAACAUAUAAAAUAAUUUAAUUUUAUAAAUAUUGCAUUAACUUCCCUUACCUCAAAAGAAGUCCUUGAAAGCUUGGGAGAAGAAUAAUUCUGAAAAAAAAUAUAAUCUACUCUUCACCUAAUAUAACAUAAGAGAAACAAUUAUUACUAUUUAUUUAUAAUUUAACAAAUCUAUUCCUUAUUUAAAUAAAACUAAUAAAUUCCCAAUUUGUUUCUAAUAACACAUUACUAAUUUAAUUAAAUUAUAACUUUAUUUCAUUAUAAAAUUCUAUAUAUAUAUUGCUAAAUCUCUUAUUCUAUUUAUUACAAAAAUACCAUUAUUACUAUUAUCUUAUUUAUUAAUCUAAAACUAAAUAUCAUUUUUUUUUUUUUUUAUUAUCCAAUUCAAUAGCUACCUAACCAUUACUCAUUCUCGGGUACACACCAAAAAGCAAGUUUUUUUUUUUUUUUUUUUUUUUGCCUAAUGAUGAUUCAUUAUAUAUAUAUAUAUAUAUAUAUAUAUAUAAGCCUCCAUAGCCCUCUGUCAUGCCCCACCUGCUUUUUUUUUUUUUUUCCUUCCUUCUUCCUUCCGGUGUGCACACGUGUCUCUUCUUUUCUUAUCAUUAUUAUUUUUUUUAUUAACUUUUUCUAAUCCCUUCCACCACAAAUAACAAUAUAUUUAUUUACUCUUUUUUUUUUUAAAUUAACCCUAAUCUAAAAUCGAAACCUUCCAAGGAACCCCUUUUUUUUUUUUUUUCAUCUAAUAAAACUUAAGAUCUCCCAAAUUCCAAUACUAAAAUCAAAAUCUUAGAUUUUCACUAUUUGAUAUUAAAACGAAUAAAAAAUAAUCUAACCCUAAUCUAGAUUUGGGGUUUUCCAAAAAAAUAUAUCUAAUGUGUUUGAAAUUAAUCAAUGAAUCUAAAAUAUUAAACUAGGGGUUAGAAUCUUACCUAUAGAGAUCUGUUCUUCAACCCUGAAAUCUGACUCCAACCUUACAUUCUCUGGAAUUCUACGAACAGGAACUCUAUUCAGAAAAGAAGGGAAAUAAUAAAAUUUCUAAUUUAUACCUAGGGUAUUUAUUUGUAAAAUUACACUUUUAGCCCUCUUCCACUUUAUUAAAUUAAUUAUUUAACUAAUUAAAUUAUUAAUAACAAUUUCCUAAAUUACCCUUAAAAGAAAAUGUCUGGGCGUUACAUCCUCCCCUCCUUAACAAAAGUUUAGUCCUCUAAACUUGACAUACCUGAGUCUUGGAAUAAUUGAGGAUGUUUUUCUCUCAUCUCUUCUUCUAACUCCCAAGUGGCCUCUCGGAUACUAUGAUUGCUCCACUGGACCUUUACCAACUUGACAAUAGCAUGUUGUAGUACCUUAUCCAUCACAUCCACAAUUUGAACGGGUACCUCUUCAUAGGUCAAGUCUUCAAAAAUUUGAAUAGGCUCCAACUCCACAACAUGAGAAGGAUCAUAAAUAUACUUCCUUAGAGUCGAAACAUGAAACACAUUAUGAACCUUAGACAGACUUGGGGGUAAGGCUACUUUAUAUGCCAAAGUGCCUACUCUUUCUAAUAUUUCAAACGGACCCACAAAACGAGGACUAAGUUUUCCUUUUCUCCCAAAUCUCAUCACAGACUUCAUAGGUGAAACUUUCAAGAACACAUGAUCACCCACCUCAAACUCCAAAUCUCGCCUACGAUGAUCAGCAUAACUCUUAUGUCUAUUUUGAGCUGCUUUUAAUAUUUCUUUAAUCAAAACAACUUUUUCAACAGUCAACUGCACAAGUUCAGGCCCCAAAAGUUUCCUUUCUCCAACAUCAUUCCAACAUAUAGGAGAUCGACAUUUCCUACCAUACAAUGCCUCAAAAGGUGCCAUCCCAAUGCUAGCUUGAAAACUAUUGUUAUAGGCAAACUCUACUAAAGGUAAAUGAUCAUCCCAAUUACCUUGCAGGUCCAAAAUACAAGCUCUCAACAAGUCUUCCAAAACCUGAAUUACCCUUUCUGAUUGGCCAUCAGUUUGAGGAUGGAAAGCAGUACUAAAACUCAACUUAGUGCCCAAAGCUUUUUGUAGACUAUGCUAGAAUCUAGAAGUGAAACGAGGAUCUCUGUCAGACACUAUAGAAACUGGUACUCCAUGCAUUCUCACAAUCUCCUUCACAUAAAGAGAAGCUAAACGAUCUAAAGAAAAGUUGACUUUCAUAGGCAAAAAGUGAGCAGACUUUGUCAACCGAUCAACAAUCACCCAAAUAACAUUAUUACCCCCUAAGGUUCUUGGCAAUCCUAUCACAAAAUCCAUGGUAAUAUGCUCCCACUUCCACUCAGGAAUAGCAAGUGGCUGUAAAGACCCUGCUGGUCGCUGAUGUUCAGCCUUCACCUGUUGACACACUAAACACUGAGCCACAAAUUGUGCAAUAUCACGCUUCAUACCUGACCACCAAUAGUUUUGCCUCAAAUCCUUGUACAUCUUUGUCUCUCCUAGGUGGAUUGCAAACUUGGAACAAUGAGCUUCCUCUAAAAGCUCCCUCCUUAAGUCUUCAUCAUUUGGGACACAAAGUCUAGUCCCAAAUCUCAAGAUCUCAUCAUCUGACAAAACAAAAUCAGGCUUACUGCCCCUCUUAACUUCCUCCAUAACUUGCACUAAUUGGGAAUCAUUCUUUUGUAGGGUCUUAAUUCUCCCAACUAAGUCUGUUGUACUCUGAAAUUUGCUACAAGUGCUCCUAAGCCCAUAACUCGAAAGUGGACUUGUAAACUCCUCAACUCUUCAAGUAACUGCCUUUGACAACCUCUAAUAGCUGCUAGAGAACCAACUGACUUCCUACUCAAGGCAUCAGCUACAACAUUCGCCUUCCCAGGAUGAUACUGAAUAAUACAAUCAUAGUCUUUAAGUAGUUCUAUCCAUCUUCUCUGUCUCAUGUUCAACUCCUUUUGGGAAAAUAGAUACUUCAAAAUCUUAUGAUCUGUGAAUAUCUCACAAGUUUCACCAAAAAGAAAAUGUCUCCAAAUCUUAAGUGCAAAAACCACAGCAGCUAACUCCAAAUCAUGAGUAGGGUAAUUCCUUUCAUAAGGCUUCAACUGUCUAGAAGCAUAAGCUACAACUCUCCCAUGCUGCAUAAGAACACAACCCAAACCCUGAUGAGAGGCAUCACUAUACACCACAAAUCCUCCUGAACCUGAAGGGAUAGUCAAAAUAGGAGCUGACACUAAUCUAUUCUUCAACUCUUGGAAGCUACAUUCAUAAUCAUCAGACCACUCAAACUUAACUCUCUUUUGUGUCAACUUAGUUAAAGGUAGGGCAAUCUUAGAGAACCCUUCUAUAAACCGCCUAUAGUAACCAGCAAGUCCCAAGAAACUUCGAAUCUCAGUCACAGUACUAGGUCUUCUCCAAUUAGCUACAGCAUCUACCUUGCCAGGGUCAACUGAGAUGCCAUCAUUGCUUACCACAUGCCCAAGGAAAGAAAUUCGGUCUAACCAAAACUCACACUUCUUCAGUUUAGCAUACAACUGCUUAUCUCUGAGGGUCUGUAAUACAAUACUCAAAUGGCCCUCAUGAUCCUCUCUACUCCUUGAGUAUACUAAGAUGUCAUCUAUAAAAACCACCACAAACUGAUCUAAAUAGGGUUUGAAUACCCUAUUCAUCAAGUCCAUAAAAGCAGUAGGUGCAUUAGUCAAACCAAAAGGCAUAACAAGAAACUCAUAGUGCCCAUACCUAGUUCGAAAAGCAGUCUUGGGUACAUCUUCCCCUCUAACCCUCAAUUGGUGAUAACCUGAUCGAAGAUCUAUCUUAGAGAACACACAAGCACCUUGUAGCUGAUCAAACAAAUCAUCAAUCCGAGGAAGGGGAUACUUGUUCCUCACUAUCACCUUAUUCAACUCCCUAUAGUCAAUGCAAAGUCUCAUUGAGCCAUCCUUCUUUUUCACAAAUAAAACAGGAGCUCCCCAAGGUGAAACACUAGGCCUGAUAAAACCCUUGUCUAAUAACUCCUGAAGCUGAACUUUCAACUCCUUAAGCUCCACAGGUGCCAUCCUGUAUGGGGGCUUAGACAUAGGACCUGUUCCUGGUACCAGAUCGAUGGUGAACUCCACCUCUCUCUCUGGUGGCAAGCCAGGCAAAUCCUCUGGAAAGACAUCAGGAUACUCCCUUACUAUGGGUAUGUCUUCCAACUUCAAAUCACUUUCAUUACUCAUCACACUAGCCAAAAAUCCUUGGCAACCCUUCUUGAGCAAGCUACUAGCUCGCAAGGCUGAGAUCAUACGCAGUGGUCUAUCCACAUGCUUUCCUUCAAAGCUAAACUUAGGCUGACCAGGAAUACUAAACGUCACCCUUUUCUCAAAACAGUCAACAGAGGCAUGGUAGGAAGCUAACCAAUCCAUCCCCAAAAUCACAUCAAAAUCCUGAAGGUCAAGGAGUACUAAGUCAACUGGCAUUUCCCUAUAACCAAUCAUCACAAUACAAUUUCUAAGCAUUCUACUGGCCACAACAGAAUCUCCCAUAAGAGUAGCAACAAUCAAAUCAAAGUCCAUGCUAGCAACAGGCAAACCCAACAAACCAGCAAAAGAUUCUAAAACAAAAGAGUGUGUUGAUCCAGGAUCAAUCAAGACUCUAGCAAAUAAGGUGUGGAUUCGAAGAGUACCUGUCACCACAUCAGAAGUGGCCUGAGCAUCAUGAUGAGUCAUAGCAAACACCCGUCCUUGGGCUUUGGGUUUCUGUUUAUCCUCCUUAUUUUCCUCUUUAGGCUUUCUAGUGAUGAACUUCCUAUUCUCUGGACAAUCUCUGAUCAAAUGUCCUUGCUUCCCACAACCAAAGCAAGCUCCAGUCUCUCUAUAGCAUGGCCUACCCCCAUGCUUCUUACCACAAGUAGGACAAGCCCCAUCUAAAUUCUGCGCUGCCUUCCCUUUAUUCUGAUUUCUUCCUGAUGUAGACCUUCAUUGUGCUUGAUUACCAUGAGCACCAUCACUCCUAUUUCGCUUCCUUUGCUGUUCCCUAUACUGAUGAAGCUCCUCAUUAUCUUUCUUUGCUAUAAGGGCUCUGUCAACAACCUCUGAAUAGACACCAAGCUUCAGAAUAGAUAUCUUGUUCUUCAAAUAAGGCUUCAACCCAUCCUGAAACUUUAAUGCCUUUUCCUCCUCUAUAGCAAUCAACUGUGGGGAAAAACGUGAUAAAUCUGUAAAUUUGGCCUCAUACUGAGCCACAGUCAUAUCCCCCUGUUCCAAACGAAUAAACUCUCCCACCUUUUGCCGCCUAACACUGUCAGGGAAAUACUUCUUGUAGAAAGCCUCCCUAAAUUGUCUCCAUGUUAUGGGUCCCUGAUCCUCCAAAAGUCUCUUAGUCAUACGCCACCAAUGAUCUGCCUCUUUAUCUAACAUAAAAGCUGCAUAAGAGGCUUUUUGCUCCUCAGAGCAAUCUAUGACACCAAAGAAUUUCUCCAUCUUAAGGAUCCAAGCCUCUACCUCUGUGGGAUCUGUAGCACCAGAAAAGUAAGGAGGACCCAAUUUCUUGAAGUCAUCAAAAGAGCUACCCCUAGAAGAUGAAGACUGUCCCUGAACAUUAGUCCCAACAGCUCGAGCUUGGCGUUCAACUAAACCAGCUAGUGUCCCAAGAUACCUAUAGAUCCCUUCUGCACUCACGGGAGGCAAACCCUCAACUGGAGGUACAUCAUCAUUAGCCUGACUGUUUUGGGAAGAUGCAGGUCUUCUUGGUGGCAUGGUGUCCUAUAAAGCAAUAGGUGUAACUAAAUUAGUCACUAAAAAGUCAAAUAAGUAAAUCAGAAUUGUAAGGAAUAAAAGGAAUCAGACUAGAUGAAGUUAAAACUUAAACUAAUACGUCACUCAUCUAUUCCCAAAGGUACACUAAACAAGUUCCCAUCAAGAUCACAACCUAGUGCUCUGAUACCACUCUGUCACGCCCCAAGACCCACUCCAAGGGCGUGACGGUCAUUUCACACCUCAAACCCGAAGGCUUAAAGUAUAAUCUGACCCAAACAGUCAUAUUGUAACUGGAUGUUACCAAUUACCAAAUACCUGCUCAGAGUAGCGGAAACAAAAUCUAAAAUCCUCAAAAUUCAAUUUCCAAAUAACUUCCAAAUACCAAAUGAUCCAAAAUAACAUAACUAAUAGUUAAACAAAAUCCAACAUAAAAUCCUAAGUCAAAUCCUAAUGAUGACCAUUCCUCAGCCUAGCCAUCACUCCUCACCCGAACUAAGAGUACCUGAAAAAUUUUCAACAAUUGGGAAUGAGCUCACAGCCCAAUAAGGAAUAUUAAUGCAGUUCAUGGAUCAAAUAUUUUCAUUUCAAAUAGGAGAUAUCAUUUUUUUUUUCUCAUCAAAUAUCAGAGUUUCAAAAAUACCAAUAUAUUCAAAAUUCAACCAACCAAUUUCAUAUCAAAUUCAAACACUUUCACAUAAGAUUCAAUCAAAUCCAUUCAAAUUUUCAUUACUCUGGUUAUCAAAUAUCAAAUGCCCAGUUAGGUGGGACUUUUCAAAUGGGUGGCUAGCCUCAGAUUGUUCCUGGUGGACGAAACCAAACACUACUAGUACUAGUAACCUCUAACCAAACCCCUAGAGGCUGGGGUCCAAAUCAAUUACAUUCCCACCAUGAAAUGUAAAGGUCAACUAUUAUAUCCCGUUGACAGGGCCGAAUAGUCAACUAUUAUUUCCCGUUGACAAGGGCCAAAUAAACCAGAGUGAUGUUCUUGUUCAAGUAUUCAAAUUUACACAACAUAUUAUCUCCAUAUUUUGUGUCAUAAAUAAAACAAAAUAUUUCAACAUAAUAUUUAGUGCAAAACAGUUUGAUCCAUGCAUGGUAACAAAAUAUCAUUUUCUUUUCCACAAUUCAAAAUAACAUAUAAAAUAAUUUAAUUUUAUAAAUAUUGCAUUAACUUCCCUUACCUCAAAAGAAGUCCUUGAAAGCUUGGGAGAAGAAUAAUUCUGAAAAAAAAUAUAAUCUACUCUUCACCUAAUAUAACAUAAGAGAAACAAUUAUUACUAUUUAUUUAUAAUUUAACAAAUCUAUUCCUUAUUUAAAUAAAACUAAUAAAUUCCCAAUUUGUUUCUAAUAACACAUUACUAAUUUAAUUAAAUUAUAACUUUAUUUCAUUAUAAAAUUCUAUAUAUAUAUUGCUAAAUCUCUUAUUCUAUUUAUUACAAAAAUACCAUUAUUACUAUUAUCUUAUUUAUUAAUCUAAAACUAAAUAUCAUUUUUUUUUUAUUAUCCAAUUCAAUAGCUACCUAACCAUUACUCAUUCUCGGGUACACACCAAAAAGCAAGUUUUUUUUUUUUUUUUGCCUAAUGAUGAUUCAUUAUAUAUAUAUAUAUAUAUAUAUAUAAAAGCCUCCAUAGCCCUCUGUCAUGCCCCACCUGCUUUUUUUUUUUCCUUCCUUCUUCCUUCCGGUGUGCACACACGUCUCUUCUUUUCUUAUUAUUAUUAUUUUUUUUUAUUAACCUUUUCUAAUCCCUUGCACCACAAAUAACAAUAUAUUUAUUUACUCUUUUUUUUUUAAAUUAACCCUAAUCUAAAAUCGAAACCUUCCAAGGAACCCUUUUUUUUUUUUUUUUUCAUCUAAUAAAACUUAAGAUCUCCCAAAUUCCAAUACUAAAAUCAAAAUCUUAGAUUUUCACUAUUUGAUAUUAAAACGAAUAAAAAAUAAUCUAACCCUAAUCUAGAUUUAGGGUUUUCCAAAAAAAUAUAUCUAAUGUGUUUGAAAUUAAUCAAUGAAUCUAAAAUAUUAAACUAGGGGUUAGAAUCUUACCUAUAGAGAUCUGUUCUUCAACCCUGAAAUCUGACUCCAACCUUACGUUCUCUGGAAUUCUGCAAAUAGGAACUCUAUUCAGAAAAGAAGGGAAAUAAUAAAAUUUCUAAUUUAUACCUAGGGUAUUUAUUCGUAAAAUUACACUUUUAGCCCUCUUCCACUUUAUUAAAUUAAUUAAUUAACUAAUUAAAUUAUUAAUAACAAUUUCCUAAAUUACCCUUAAAAGAAAAUGCCUGGGCGUUACAGUUGACCUUAGAGCUGCAUCCUCUUGAAUGCACCAAAUUGCCACCAUCACUAGCCUCUCCAACCUCUUCAUAUCAUUCAUAAGCUUCCACCAGCAUGCCAAUUUCCUUUGCACAAACCAUUCAUAAGCUCCAUCCAUUAGUGCAUCCUCUUCGUCUUCCUUUGCAAAUGCAACACUGGAAUUGCAGCAUAGGAUUUCUAGCGACAUUCCACCAUAGUAAGCAUCAACUUUAGCUGUGAUCGUUCCUUUCCUGAACCAUUUUGUUGCAAAGUAGCAUAUGGUCCGUCUUAUGCCACCUCCUCUUAAGAGUAGUUUAAGUUUGAUCAGCAAACAACAGCUUUGCUUGUUCAAAAUCUGAAAUCCUAGGUGUUAAGUGCCAAUCUGGGAGUAUUUUUUGGGGCUUUAUAUCACAAUGGAUGAUCUGGGUGCUGCACUCCUUCUGUGCAUUAGCCUUAUUACAACCCCAAAGGUGAGUAAAGAAGCCAUUGCUCAUGUAUUCAUGCACCAGAAGCUGACUAAAUUGGUCAAUCUCCUCUGCUCGAUAUUGCCUUGAAGCCAUGGGUGGCUACUUCAAGCUCUGUGUAUGAAUAAUGUGUCACAGUAGUAGUCCCCGCUUCCCCGGUAUGCUUGAAACAAACUGGAGACUGAUCAGUUUCUUACAGUAUCAAAAGACAGCAGCCACAGCUAACCACAAAAAGAGAUUGAAGAACACUACUGCCAAGGAGUAUUCUCAACAAGGAUCAAGGUAGACUUAUCUGGGCUUGUCUGUAAUACUUUUACUAUGUCUUCCACAGGACUGAGGAAAUCUCUUCUGCCAACACAUUGUCCGCAUAAAUGGCUACUGCACAGAAGCAAUCCUCUUUACAAGACUGUUUAAAAUUUCUCCUAGUCAAUGGCCCAUCGAAUCCGAAGUUCAGAAUCGGAAUGGCCAGUCUGUGUUGUUUAAUUCUAUGAACUCUACCUCAUUCUUCCCCGCUUCCCCUUCAUCUGCUUGGCAACUGGGCAUUGGAAAAUUUGGUCUUUGAAAUCUGGAACCAAGGUAGAAUACCUAUACAAGAACUCACAUCUGAAUAGCCACGGCCGCGGCCACUAACAGCUGUACAAUUGCCAUCGGUAAGUGCCUGCAGAACAGACGAAGAAGUAUUAAUGCAGUUCCAGUGGUUUGCAGUGUUCUUUUUUUAGUGAUUAUAGAAUCAAAAUCAAGUCUUGUCCUGUGGUAAUAGUCACUCCUGAAGUCUUUGUCUUCUGACAUGAGGUUAACUUAUUUGGCAAGAUGGUAUCAGUGGGAUUCUUGAAGCUCUCCCAGGCAUAAAUAAGUAAAGCCAUAUUUUCAAAAAAAUUUGGUUAGCAAUCAAGAAAAACCUGGUAGAAUUAGUGUAGAAUAUGUAAAAACUGGAAAAUCACCAUGUUAAUUUGAGCAGGUCAUCAAAACAUGUGGUUUUGGCCUCUUAAAUAUUCAAUCACAAGUAUAUUAUAUAUGAUUUUAAGCUAUUAGAGAAGUAUGAAAAAGAAAAUUAUGAGACAAUGUCAACAAGUGGAAAAUAAUUUCAUCAAGUAACUUCUCUUGAUAUCCUUUUCCUUUGUAACAAUAUUCAAGACGAAAGGUUACAACUUACAAGUCACAACUUAAUUUUCAACUUAAGACUCUUACCAUGUGAAGGUACUCAAGUCUGACUGUAACUUGACCCAACCAAGCAAGGGCCAUCCAUACUUUAUACCAUUUGAGGUUGGUCAAAUUUGCUCACAAAAUGAACUUUCCUGACAUUGAGAACAAACCUUAUAUCAUCAAAAGUUCAGAAAAAUAAAUCAAGAGAAUAUUUAAGACAGUGAACAACCAACUCUCUUCUUGAUAAUAGAUGGGGAACAAGCUCAAAAUAUAGAAUAUUAAAUUUUCUAAAGCAUGAAGAUGGCGAAUAAGCUUAAAAAAAUAAUUUCUAUACAAAAUCAGAAACAUGAGAGAAUUGCACUCAACUACUUUAAGAUAAUAACAACAUCAAAGAAAGAAAAACAGAACCGCGAAAGUCUUAUAGUCAAGAUAAUUUAAUUAAAAUAUUCUUUGUGGGAGUUUUGCGGUAUAGACCUUCAUUUAGACUUGGACUCUUUAAUUUUCUUUAUGAAUAAACAACUGACUCCUGCUCAAAUGAAAAAUGAGAACCAAUGCUCAUAGUCACAGAUAGAAGUGUAGGCAUGGCAAUGCCAAUUUUGCAUAUGAUCUAGUCCUAGUCAAGACCUAAGAAAAGCCAAAACAAGAACAAAAGAACAUCAAAAUUGGGACAAAAACAAGUGUAGCAACUACAUAACAAAGAUUUAUGUCAAUCUGCUCACCUUUUGAAGGUGGCCCACUGGGUGAGUGCAAAAUAGACCGGCUUUUUUUAACAGGGGCUCACAAUUAGUAAAAGUUGCAGAACCAAAACAGAGUUCAGAUAAUGAAAGAAUUCAAUGAAUUCAAUAAUAUAAAAAUGUUGCUUUUGGAACUGUAGGUUUUCAAAUAAUCAGAUCUAAAAAUACAUUGGCAUACAAUUACUGUUUGUUUACGUCACAUGUUUUUCCAUAGUCAUAUCAACAUGUACAUAUGCAGCCAACUAAAAACAUAUUGUGAUGUUGUAAGAUUCAAUACAUAUUUCAAUAACCAUGAAUUACCUAAAAAUGUAUCCACAUGUUCUUACAGGAGAUAAACACACAAGUAGUUAAGAGUCAUCUUUACCCAUUCAGGAAGGUAAAUUGAAGGUGUCAUGAAAAUACGAUAAGUGGCUUCAUUAAAAUGUGAAUUACCAAGGAUCAAUCUUUCUUUACUCUUUUUUUUUUUUUUUUUGAUAGGUAAAGGAAAUUCAUUAAAAGCCAAAAAGGCUAAAGUUACUCUUCUUUUCUUCAUUAGAAAAUUCUUAAAUAUAUAUAUAUAAAAGAACAGAGCAUGCUGCAUAACCAAAUUCCCAACAAGACUAGAAAAUGAAUUAUGGGGACAUGCAACUCUAGAGAUUGUUAGAAAUUUUGAAACAUGAGUACUUGGCCAGCUACUUUGUGAAUUGGAACAUAACUUUUCUGAAUAAAAUAAGUUUAAGCAUAGAACAAAUUACUUGGCUGUAUAUUGGUGCAAUACCACUUUCAUUACAAUAACAGACCAUUGAUCACCAUUUUUGGAGUUGAGAGAGGGCAAUGCAUAUAUACAAGAUCAUGGGAUUAUGUUCUGCUUGGAACUCAAUUUUGCUUGUCAAUAGCCCACCGCAUUCUUCUCUGCUUCCCCUUCAUCUGCUUGGUUUGAAAAAAAUUUGAUCUUUAAAAUCUGUAUCCAAGAAAGAAUACCUAUACAGGCAACAAUCUGGACAGCCUCCCCUCUUCAUCAAACAAUACAAUGGCUAUUAAAUCCACAAAUCCCACUACCAUGGCUACUGGUACCUAUGCUACAAAUGCCAUUAGGAAUUGCCUGCACAAUAGACCAAGAAGCAUUUGUUUUUAAGAUCAGAAGCUUCUAUAUAUAGGUAAAGCAUCUUAUACAAAAGAGUAGAGAUUUACCUUGUGCCUUUAAAAACCACUUUUUAAGAAAUUUUAAAAUUUGAGAUAAUAAAUUUUUUUUGGUACCUUGAUUGUUUUAAACAGUUUUUAAAAUUAUUAAUUUUUCAAUGUAAGUCUUUAAGAGUUAAAAUACAAAAGUUACUAUUAUUUUAUUAUUUUAAAAACAAAAAACAGGAGGUAUAUACAGACACUUAAGGAGGUCAAAACCUUAACAAUGUAGGAGAUUUAACGGAGGCAAGGAAUUAAGCAGAUAUAUUCUUGAGAUUAGAAAUUUGGGUGGAACAUCAAUUUUGUAAAGAAAAUAAGUUUAAGCACACAACAAUUACCUGCCCAUGUGUUGGUGCACUGCCACUCCCAUUAAAAUAGCUCAAGACCGAUCGUUAUUUUUGGAAUGUGAGAUAUAUAACGCCAUUCUUGCCCUUUCUCGAACUGGAGCCGUUGUUCCAGUGGAGGACACUCGUUGAUAUGCAGAUAAAGGAGUGAGUCUGGCAGUCUCUCUUUUGUCAAGUAUUGAAGCUUAGGGCAGUCGUCGAUAUGUAAGGUUUCAAGAGUGGUGAGGUGGUGAAGACCCGCUUCUGUCAAGGAUUGGAGCCUUCCGCAUGAGUCGAUUCCUAAUUUCUUGAGAGAGAUAAGGCAUUGAAGAACAGAUCCUGUCGAGAAUUGGAGCUCAGGGCAGUACUGGAUCCAUAAUUCUCGAAGAGAGGUGAGUUGUUGAAGCCCCUUGUUGUCAAGAGACUUGAGAUUUGGAAGAUCUGAGACUGAAAGAUAAGUCAGAGAAGAGGGCAGCAGGCACUUUUGGGAAAUAAUUCCACGUCUUCACAUCCACCUCUGAUUGUGAAAUGAGUAUUGUUUAAUCAUUAUAAGAUGCCUACUUAAAUCAAUAAUAUCUUCCUCACUUCCAUAUACACGAGAUUCAAAAACUAAAAAAUAGAACAAGCCAUGCGCAUGAGAUUCAUUUAGUUUUAUUGAGAGAGUUGUGCCUGCCAUGCACACACACACCGGAUUAAAGAAAUAAUGAAAGAUGACUUAUGAGAGAGUUGUGCCUGCCAUGCACACACACCGGAUUAAAGAAAUAAUGAAAGAUGAAAUAAGUCAUAGAAGGCUCAUGGGGCUGCUCAAAGCCUCAGAGAGAGAGAGAGAGAGAGAGAGAGAGAGAGAGAGAGAGAGAGAGAGAGAGAGAGAGAGAGAGAGAGAGAGAGAGAGAGAGAGAGAGAGAGAGAGAGAGAGUUAGUUUUUCUUUUUUUUUCUAACUUUGAAGCUAGUCAUUCAAGACUCAUGGAGUUGAUUGAACAUUAUGAUAGAACCAAACAGUCCCUAUUGUUUGCCAAAAACAAUUUUGUGAAAAAGCGAUCCUUUAUAAUAUGUUUGCUUCCAUAAAGUUUGAAAAAAAAAUGUAAAAAAUAAAUAAAUAAAUAAAAAUAGAAAAAAAAUUUAAAAUUAAUAAAUUAUUUUUACAUAUUACAUGAAAUUCAUUUUAAAUAUUUAAUUCUUUGAUAUAAAGAUUAAAUAAUUUAAAAAUAAAUAAUUUUCUUAAUCAUUUUAAUUAUAUUUGACUUUUUUCAUAUUUUUUAUGAUAUAAUAAAAAAUUGAGAAAAUCAUUUUUGUUAACAUUUUUUUUCUUAGUAUUUUUUAGGAACUAAAUAUAGAUUUAUAUUAAAAGUAAUCCUUUAUAUUAAAGUCAUACUUGGUUCUAGAAAAUGGUCCAAAAAAAUAUGUUAAAAAAAAUAAUUUUCUCCUAUUUGAUUUUACUAUUAAGAAUAUGAAAGAAAAUCAAAUAUAAUUAAAAAUAAAUAAAAAAAUUAUACAUUUCAAGUUAUUUUAUUUUUAUAUAAAAGAGUUAAAUAAGUAAAAUGAGUUUAAAAUAUAAUAUAAAAACAAUUUAUUAACUUUUCACAUCUAAUUAUCUUAUCCUUCGUUUGUAAUACUAGAAGUAUCAAGGAAAUGAAAAAAAAAAAAAGCAGCUAAAUGAGAAUUUAAAAUCAUAUGUUUGAUUGAGAGUGAAAUUUGAAAUACUAAAUUACAUAUAUUUUUAUUAAUGAAGAAGAAUGAGAAAUAAUAUUUUUUUAAAAAGUAUCUAAAUUUUUUCUUACUUUUUUUACAUGUCACAAACAUGGUUGUCUUAGGUUCUAAUCUUUCCUAAUUCAUCAAAGACUAAAUUCCCAUGGUCAAUGACACAAGUACUGUAGGCAUGGCAAUGAGAACUCUGCUAAUGAGAAGCUAACACCAAAAGAUUUAGGUCUUCUCUUAUGACCAUGACAUUGAUCUCAAUGAUCAUUUCCAUGAAGACAGAAACAAAGUGCAUCAACUUCCUAACAAACUUCAGGUCUAUUUGCCUACCUUUAAAAGGUGGUCCACUAGGUCAAUGCAAAAUAGACCAGCUUUUAUUACAGAGACUCCCAAUCAAUGAAUGCAGGCCGCUAAACCAAAAUAUGAAACAAUGAGAUGUUUUGAGGUUAUUGAGAACAUGAACCAAAACAAAGAAAACCUUUUUGUUUUAGUGAAAAAUAAGACAUUGAAAGGAUAUGCAGUCAUAAAUCUUGCAAUUUUGUACAUUGCAAGAGUUAAAUCUCUACUUUUAUUACACUCGAAAGGGAAUAGCAG